rnacentral:lncRNA from 1 species
GUUUUUUUUAGGUGUUACCAUUAUUAUCGUGAAAGUAGUAUGUGACUAUACUAGGAAGAUUGUCAUCGCUUUCUUCAAAAGCAUUGCUUAGUCUGUCUAGUUUAUCCUGUUUAUCUUCAUGUGACUUUAGUUUAGUGCUCCUGCGGUAGAUUUACUUUCAUUGUAUUAUAUUGAAAGAAUUGAAGUUUUGAAAGAAAUUUUAAAUCACCCACUCACCAUCCCCCCCUUCUGGUCGAUAUACUCUCGAUCCUACAAGGGUGAAAACCUAGAUUCUGAUUGGAUCGAGUGACAGUGGUGCUUGAGCAAAGUUGUGAGAAUGCAACUCGAGUCUUAGUAUAUUACAAACUUACGAUCCAAAAUAGCCCCUCCAAUUCUAUGAUUUUGCUCAUAGAAUCUAAGUUUCUACGAACCUGGUAAUUAUGAUUCUAUGAUUCAUGAUCCUACCAAUGGAGCUUCGAUCGGAUUCAGAAUCUCGAUCCCGACAACUUUGUGCUUGAGUGUUGCUCCCUUUUUGAAGGUUUUGUUGUUGAAGAACCUCGUUCUCCAUGUGGUGUCAUGAGAUGGUUGGUGCGGAUACAACCAUUGAUGUAGUUUAUUGACCACGAAUCUGAUCGCUUCGCGUGUUUUUUUUUGUUUUUUUCUCGCUUACACAUAGUUUUGGUAUUGUAUGACUUUUCUAUUUGCUGGCAUGUUUUGUGUGCGUGUGUUGUUAUGUGCAUCUUCGCUAUACAGAGGCCAGGUGUGUGCAUUAUGUUUUGUAUCUUCUUGGUACUCCAUUUUGUGUCCAUAAAAUCCAUGCAUUAUCGAAAAAGUACAUUGAUGUAGUGGAGUGUAAGGCACCAUUGUUAUACUCGAAAGUACUAGUAAAGGUUUAGCAAGGACUCCCCUACCUAGAACCGCAUCAAUUCAUUCAUUUUAACUGCUAUGUUUUGGCUCUUGUUGUUAAUUAUGUCCUUGUAUAAUUAGUUCUACUACCGUUGAUGCCCAUGUACUUGCAAUGGACAUGUCAUGCAUAAUAAUUUGAUUUGAUGACAUUGAUGUGUACCUACUUGCAAUGUGCAUGUCCUGUAUAUUUAUUUGAUUUGCUUACAUUGAUAUCAACAUGCUUGCAAUGGACCAUGUUCUUAAGAAAAUUUAUGUCCUAAAGUCGCUAGGAAGCCAUUAUUGAAUGUUAUUCUUCCUCCACCUGUUACUACUUUGCGUUUGUGCCAUGGAUUUGGCCCUUCUAGACACUUAGAGUACUACUUUUGUAUGUGGUUAAUUUGUUAUGCAUGUACUGCUCCCGAACAAACUUUUAGAUGCUAAAAUGCUUUCUGGAACAUAGUAUUUGGCAUUUUUUUACAAAAUACUAUUUCAAAUAUAGCAUGCUAUAAUUUAUAUAGCAUCUGGAGAAGGCGGAAAUUGCUUUUGGCUCCAGAGCUCCACGGAUGCCUUUAAAUUUAAAAUUCAAAUUUCAUGAAAAUUCGUAUUUUAUAUUUUAAAAAAUUCUGAAAAAAUACAGGGAUAAGUGAAGGCGUAACACACAUGUAUGUAAAUUUUCAGAAAAAAAUACAAUGAAAUGAAGGCUGUGCAAAAAAGACAAAUCUGAGGCUUUUUUACACAUGACAUUAUUCAUCGUUUCAGGUCAUGAAUUUGUCUUUUUUGUGCAGAUCGCAUUUCAAGGUAUUUUAUCCUAAAUUUUUACACACAUACACAUAACAUCCUUUUUUUACUUGCAUAUUAGUUUUCAGAUUUUUUUGAAACCGAAAAGUUUGAAUUUUGAAUUAUUCAACAAUUUCGGCCUCCAUGGAGGCCGAGCUCCAAACGUCCGCUCUCCUGAAGAAGGGUGACACUAAAUUUAAUAGCAUGCUACUUUUUUUGUUGGUGCUACCCUAACUCUACCACGUAUAUCAUCAUUCAGACCUAACGAGAGAUGCAAGGCAUGGAUGUGUGUCCUCACGAGCACAUUCACGAGCACAUUCCUGUAUAGUAAUUUGAUUUAUUUAUAUUGAUGUGUAAGCUGGUUUUUUUUUUCUUGUUGGUGCUACAUUGAUGUCAACCUCUCAUGUAUAACAAUUUGAUUUCCUUACAUUGGUGUGUAAGCAACCCUAACUCCACCAUGUAUAUCAUCAUUCAGACCCAACGAAGGAAUGCAAGGCCAGGAUGCGCAUCUUCGCGAGCGCAUCCAGGACAACACUUCCAUUGAUGUCAGCAUGUCCUGUGUAAUAAUUCGAUUUGCUUAUUGAUGUACACCUACUUGCAUUGAUGUCAACAUGUCUUCUAUAAUAAUUUGAUUUGCUUACAUGGAUGUGUAAGCAGGCAUGUCUUGCUAUUUUUUCUGUUGAUACUAUCCUAACUCCACCUUAUAUAUCAUCAUUCGGACCGAUCCUUUCUUGUAUGAUCACAUAUUCAUCUUAACAUGCGAAUCUUUGUUAUACUCCCUCCGUCCCAAAAUAAGUGUUGUUGAUCUAGUAUAAAAUUUAUACUAAUUUAAUAUAAAGUUUGCGACAUUUAUUUUGGGGCGGAUGGAGUACUUAACUGUUGAAUAUGUUGCAUUUUAGUUGGUCAACACUCAAUGUCAUACAACAUUAUUUCAGUCGGUCAACACUUAACAUCAUACAACAUUGCAGGUCGAAUCGUGAUGUUACAAAACAUGUUGUUUAGGUUUUGUGCCACUAUCUUCCCAUAAAGAAUGCCAGAAGCUUGGCACCACUUUAUCCAUCCGCCUUUGAUUCGAUGACUCAUGUCUUCAUCGAUAUCACCAACAUUCUGCAACGUUGACCCAAAAAAUAAAAAGGUGUCCUUGUAAGGUAUUACCUAUCUAUCAAGACUAACAUCCUCCUCCUUAUGGCUAGUUGUACUGAAAGUUUGAUACCACACCUACUCAGUUUUAGUUCUACACUUCUUGGCCAUCGUGAGCAUAGGCACCGCUGGAGUUGCAGCGACUGCUCUCUUCUCAUACUGCUACCUGAUGCUUGUACUUCCAGCUAGUGCCGCGGCGGCCAGCGGUGGCGGCAGUGGACCGCGGUGCAAAAUCAUCUUCAACUUCGGGGACUCAGCUUCUGACACGGGCAACACAUGCACUGGUGGCCUGCCAGGGCCUGCCGGUGUGGUGGGAAUUUUCACCCGCCUCCCCUACGGUGUCACCUAUUUCGGGAAGCCCACUUGCCGGUGCAGCGAUGGCCGGGUCUACAUCGACUUCCUGGGUAAAUAUGCAGUGUCCUAAAAUUUCAAAUCUGACUGGGCUUCGAAAACCUGAAAUUGCCCAAUUUUACGUGGGCAUUCCCUGAACUUCUUGUGAAAAUGUCAUAACACUGACAUACUUUAAGUGACUGUAGUGCAAGCAUUAGGGCUGCCGUUUCUCCCGCCAUCCAAGGCGCUCCGCAGGGACUUCCAGCAAGGCGCAAACAUGGCCAUCAUCGGCGGCGCCGUACUUGACUACACCAACGCCAGCCUCAAGUUCACUGCCUACGACGGCUCCAUGAACACCCAAAUCGACAAUGUCCAGCAAUUGUUGCCUUCAAUCUCUGGAAUACGUAAGAGUAAUAAUUAAGCACUGGGCUGGUUCUAAUAUUAGAUCAUUUGAUCGACUGAUUAUGCAUGCGAGAAUAUUUGAAGUUUACUAAUCUUAUAUAUGUGACUGUAUACAGAUUGCAAGGAGUAUUUGGCCAAGUCCCUGUUUGUGUUUCAGUUGGGGGAGAACGACUACAGCAUUCAGCUGGUGAAUGGAUCCACGGUAGAUGAGGCCAGCAAGGCAGCAAGAACGUACCCAGAAUAGUGAACACCAUCAUAUCCGGCGUACAGGUAACUGNNNNNNNNNNNNNNNNNNNNNNNNNNNNNNNNNNNNNNNNNNNNNNNNNNNNNNNNNNNNNNNNNNNNNNNNNNNNNNNNNNNNNNNNNNNNNNNNNNNNCUCCCCCUCCCUCCUCCUCCUCCCGGCCGCCCCUCCCUCCUCCCUCCUCCCUCCCUCCCGAUAGCCCUCCUCCUCCUCUCGGCCGCCCCUCCUCCUCUUCCUCCCCUCGCUGAUGCGGUGAUGGGUGUGGUGGUGGAUGGAGGAGUAGAGGGUCUGAAAUCGGUCCUAGAGCAGUUCAACUCGACGUCAGACGAACAUUCCAUGUCGUCUGAUCCAAGCAGCACGUGCACGGCCGCUUCCUCUCCUUCCACGUCGCCGCGGCUCACCGCCGGCGUCGUCAACUUCUUGGCACGGCGUGCCAUGACCACACACCACCGACCAACAACAGCACCACCAUUUCCCCUCCACUUGCCGGGCUCCUCCACCGGCUCCGGCCACGCCGCCCCCGCUGCCGUCCGACACCAGCGACACCGACGAGAAGCUCCUGCUCAACGUGCUCUCCCGGCACCAGGGCGCCUCCGCGCACGAGGCGGCGGCGGUGGCGCUGCCGCUGAAGCAGGGGGCCGCCAACCCGCUGUGAACUUUCGGGCCUGCCACACUUGCGCAGUUGCGCUAGAGGAGAGGGUCCCUUUUACAGUCAAAACAAUCCCACCUUGCUCCUUUACAUGUAAUCUCACCGGUUUAUAUACAUAUGGCCCAGAGAAUCAAUAAGCGACUUGGAAUUAGGAAGGGAAAGAAGGAAGGGAAAAACGAAUCGGCAAACGAUCCAUGAAGAAAUUAAAUCAGCAAGAGCGCGGGAGACUGAGGGCGCACGCGUACCUCCCGAUUAUAUGUGAAGCGCAAUGUGAUCGAAAAGUAAGGAAGGAAAGAGAAUCAAGAUUCUUGAUAUGUAUGCACGAUUAAAGGAGGAACAUUUCCUUGGGACCAUAAAUUAAAACCGUAUUAUGAGGAUGAUGUAUUGAAUGUAUACAUCAAUAAAAAUCAUUGAUCCAUUUUGUUCGCCCAUCUAUUUCUUUUUUACUUGGGGGUCAAAAAUUGGAUAUCUAUAGUUCUUGGCUUUCUUGCAUGACUUUUCUUAAUUAAUUAUUGAUUUGUAAAAUUAAUGACAGAUUGGUGCAAUUUUACUAAAUUCGAAUUGUUUUAUUUUGGGUUGUAAAUUUUGAACUUUUGUAAAUUAAGAGCGUGGGAAAUUUAUUUUUCCCGUUGCAACGCACGGGCCCUUUUGCUAGUAUAAAUAUGUGUGUGUGUGUGUGGGGGUGGCAUGGAUUUGCUAUCAACACUAGCUGGGGUGGUUACUAUCUGAACCGUUUGUUUGCACCGAGAUUCGCACUUUCUUGUAGAUAAGGUUCUCUCUCACAUGCACAAAUCUUUUAAAUGUUUGAUUGAAUUUAAGUAAAUAUUUCAGCACUUCUGCGAGAAUGCAAAACAAAAUCACCGAAAUUUAUAUAAUUUCAGUGAUUUUGGUUGGUACUGAAAUUUUUCUAAAACUAAAAGCGAAAACUAGCACUCAAUAGUGCAGAGUUGUACCGAACACUGAAAAUUCAAGUAUCAAAAAUCGUAGAGCGAGUAGGGUAUAGUUUUGAAGUGCUUUCACUCCAUCCUUCACAUGGCCUCAUGUUGCUAUCUAUUUCAUUGACUCCCACGCCCGACUAGCUCGCGCUUACAGCUCUCACACUGUCGUGGUUUUGUCACGACAGAUGUCCUCGUGAAAAGACUUGGUGAUGAGGCCAUCGCAACUAUAUGACUACUCAAAGGGGUUAAUCGGGAACGAGAGACGAGUUUACAUAGGUACAACCCCUCCGGUGGAGGUUAAAUCCUACAUCCUGCUUUGUGUGUAUAUUGAUGACGAAAUCGAUUACAAGGGUGCAGAUUCGCCUGAACUAGCUCUCGAUAGAUUGUAACUUAACCCUAUAAACCUGUGGGGCUUGCCUUUAUAUACAUGUCAAUGCUCUAGGUUUUACAAGAGACCAGGUUGUGCUAUGAUUUGUACCCCGGAAUAUCUCUAACUCGCCCUGUCUUCCAAGCAGGGUUAUCUUCUGCCUAUCGUCUACCUCAUGAGCCUUGAACCGCCACCUUCGUAGUAGACAGCCGCCAGGUGACUUACUGGGACAGGCCGCCUUACACCUUUGAUCUUGUAUGCCGAGGCCCAUCUUGAGUGCAAUCUCAAGCCGCCAUAAUUAUGACCCGACCCCACAGGAUAGGUUAUACAGCGAGGUAAUAUACCCAACAUUAGGCCCCAGAUUGACUUGAAUUUAUUCAUGUCAAUAUCCUUUACCUUAAUCUUGGUGGCUUGUGUGUACUUCAUGUCUUGUCUUCCCUCGGGUAGAGAUGUCGGCGUCAUAAAACUUCAAAGAUCUUUAUGAGUCCUUGCUCUGUUCACCAAUGACGUCACCCGCCCCAGAAUUUUAGGGAAUCAAUGAUUUCAUCGUAAUGGCUCUUUGUACUUAUCCGUUUAACCCAAAAAUAUGGGCGCCCUUGGUUCCGAAGUUUACUGCGCCUCCUUGAUUCCCGCGCCUGCCAUAUACUCCUGGCCUUUAAAUACUCGCGAGGGCCCCUUUCAUUUUUAACUCGCUCUCCCACUUCUUCUUCUUGCUCGAGCUCGAACUUUUCACCGCGCCGCCGCCGCCGUUCUUCCAUCGCCAGCCUUCCACAUCCAGGACCGCCACAUUGCGCGACUUCACCUCAACACAUCAGAUUUUCUCCGCCACCAUCAACAUCAUCAGGUAAGUCCCUUUCUUCUAUUCAGAUCUGUCUGUUAAUCCAUCACAGAUCAUGGAGUUUGUCAGAGUUCUUCGUGUGUUCAUCACCAUUGCCGACCUGCUUGAUUCUUUGAUGAACCUCUUCCAUCAACAGAUUGCGGUAGAUAUAGCAACCCUGUUUCAUGUACGAUGCUCCCUAGAUGCGUUUCCAUACCUCAUCGUUUUUAGGGUUAAUGAAUACUUUCCUUUCUGAACCAUUUGUAGAUCCGUUUUUAGACACUUCGGUAGAAACAUGUUUGUCCCACACUUAGUAGAAAACCAGAAAUCCUUAUCCAUUUGUAAGCCGCCUCUUACUUUAUGCCAGCUUCCUUGAUAUGAUAGUAACCCGCCUGCUUCUAUAAGUCGCCCCGCCUUUAGAUGGCGACUCACAUUAAGGCGGUUUGAAUAUUGCAGAUUGCUCUGUCACUGUAAUCUAGUUCCUUCUUGAACACCUCGCACAUUAAAUAAUCUGUUUGUCAUUUGAAUAACCCGCCAAGUAUAUUUCCGCAGCUCCUUUCUCCUGAAUCCACCACCAAGUCAAAACCUGUUUGAUGCAACUGGCAGGCUUCUGAAACCUCUGAGGCCGUACUCCAGCACUACGUAACUUUAGGGGCCUUGUCAUCAAAAGAGGAGAUUGGUUGGCGAGCCGCCAUUGGGGAGGAACGCCCACAACCAGGUGAAGGAGAAGUAAUAGUUUUCAGCGAUCACCUUGAGCGAGGUUUUACUCCUCCCGGGUCAAAAUUCUUUGGAGAUGCUCUACACUUUUACAAUCUUCACCCUCAAGACGUGGGUCCUAACUCCAUAAGCAACUUGUGCCAAUUCCAAGUUUUUUGUGAGGUGUACAUGGGAAUGGAACCCACAGUCCUUUUAUUCAGGGAAUUCUUUUACCUCAACCGUCAAAUAGAAUUUGCUGACGGACCGUGCUUGGAACUUGGCGGGGUGAUGCUAGCAGUCCCCCGCAACAGCACUAGAGAAAUGUUGUUGACGUGUUCCUGACUUGAUGCCUCCACGGCAACGGAGCCCGAACUGCUCCCAGUUUCUCAACAAUUAGCAAUUGUUUUGCAAUGGCCAACAGCGCGUGGGUUCGCGGCAGUUUUCGAGGGUAGAGUAUUCAACCCAAAUUUGUUGGUUCGCCCGACCGGAAGUGAAAGGAUACUCUCAAGUAUUAGCAGCUGAAUGUGUCAGAUUCAACCACACCUGAAAGAUUAGUAUCUGCAAGCAAAGUAUCAGCAGCAAAGUAGUAUGAUAACAACGGUGCCAGAAACAAUCUGUUGACGGCAGACUAUUCCUAACGGUUGUAUCAAUGGCGCCAGAAGUUGCCCGCGUAUGGGAAAUAUUCUUUCCAGGCGAUGGGGCGAGAAAAGUAUUGUAGCAGGUAGUAGCAGGGUAACGAGUAUCAGCAGUGGCAAGGAACAACAGUAGUGACAACAGUAGCAAGUAGCAACAGUAGCAAGUAACAGAGUAGCAAGUAGCAGCAGAGCAAAGCAAGUAACAGCAGCAACAACAGUAGUAACAGCAGCAGAGCAAAACAAGUAACAUCACUAGUGGGACAAACUUGUAGGCAAUGGGUCGGUGAUUCGUUUGGAUGACAUUCAUCAUGCAACAGUUAUAACACGGAGAGAUAUGUGGCUAGCUCCCGUUCGUCAAUGUGAUGUAGGCAUGCAUUCCGUGUGUCGUCAUACGUGCUUAGGGAAAAGAACUUGCAUGACAUCUAUUGUCCAUCCCUCCCGUGGCAUCGGGGUCCAAAAGGAUACUACGGGAUAUUAAGGUUCUCCUUUUAAUAAAGAACCGGAACAACGCAUUAGCACUUGGUGAACACAUGAACUCCUCAAACUAUGGUCAUCACCGGGAGUGGUUCCGGUUAUUGUCACUCCGGGGUUGCUGGGUCAUAACACAUAGUAGGUAACUACAACUUGCAAGAUCGGAUCUAAAACACACAUAUAUUGGUGACAACAUAAUAAUUUCAGAUCUGAAAUCAUGGCACUCGGGCCCUAGUGACAAGCAUUAAUCAUGGCAAAGUAGUAGCAACAUCAAUCUUAGAACAUAGUGGAUACUAGGGAUCAAUCCCCGUCAAAACUAACUCGAUUACAUGAUAGAUCUCAUCCUACUCAUCACCGCCCAGCGAGCCUACGAAUAGAUUACUCACGAACGAUGAAGAGCUUCAUGGAAUUGGAGAGGGAAGAAGGUUGAUGAUGAUGGUGGCGACGAUUUCCCCUCUCCGGAGCCCAAAACGGACUCCAGGUCUGUCCUCUAGAUGAAGAACAGGAUGUGGCGGCGCCUCCGUAUCGCAAACGCGAUGAAAUCUUCUCUUCUGAUUUUUUUGGGACGAAAGUGAAUUUAUAGAGCUGGAGUGGGGGGGGGGGGGGCGGAAGACCCAUGUGGGCCCCACAAGCUUGGUUGCCGCGGCCAGGGGGUGGGGUGGGGGGGGGGGGGCGGCAACAGGGCUUGUGGCCCACUGGACCAUCCCCUCCGGUGGAUCUUUGCGCAGGUAUUUUUCAUAUUUUCCAGAAAUAUUCUCCGUAAAUUUUCAGGACGUUCCGAGAACUUUCAUUUUUGCACAAAAACAACACCAUGGCAAUUCUGCUGAAAACAGCGUCAGUCCGGGUUAUUUCCAUUCAAAUGAUGCAAAUUAGAGUCCAAAACAAGGGCAAAAGAGUUUGGAAAGUAGAUACGAUGGAGACGUAUCAAUUCCCCCAAGCUUAAAACCUUGCUUGUCCUCAAGCAACCUAGUUGACAUACUGAAAGAGAAAGAAAAACUUUGACAUACUCUGUUUGAUCUUGUUGUUGCAACUAUGUCUAACUCAUAAUCAGAAUUUCAGCAAGAUCACAAGUUAACCACAUAAGCAAUUGACACAAAGGUCUCACGGUAAACUAAUAUCAAUGGCAUAAUCAGCUAGCGAGCAAAUAAUAAUGAGUUUCAGAUACCAACAAUUCAAUCAAAACAAGCAUGAAGCAAUAUGAAUAGGUGGUAUCUCGCUAGCUCAAUCUGAGACCGCAAAACAUAAAUGUAGAGCACUUUCAAAGAUCAAGGGCUGACUAAACAUUGUAAUUCAUAGCAACGAAGAUCCAGUCAUAGUCAUUCUCAAUAUCAAUCAAAAGCAAAGCAUAAAAAUGACAGAGGUGAUCUCUAAUUGGUGCUUAUAUAAGAAGAGGAUGACUCAACAGGAAAAUAAAUAGGCAGGCCCUUCGUAGAGGGAAGCAUUGAUUUGCAGAGGUGCCAGAGCUCAAGCUUUGAAAAUAGAGAUAAUAAUUUUGGGUGGCAUGCUUUCAUUGUCAACGCAAUGACCAAGAGUUCUCAAUAUCUUCCAUGCUAUUCAUGCUAUAGGCGGUUCCCAAACAGAAAAGUAAAGUUUUAACUCCCCCACCACCAAUCAAUCACACUCCACGACUAGCCGAAUCCUCGGGUACCGUCCAUACUAACAUCAAUCCGGGGGGAGUCUUGUUUUACAAUUAUGUUUUUGAUUUAAGCAUGGAACUGGGCAUUCCAAUUACCGGCCCCUUUCUCGUGAAUGACAGUGAAUAAACACAUGUCGAGGAUAACACGCCUAACAUGGAAGAUACCAAUAGCCCCCUGUCACCAAAUGAGCGGUUCGGGCAUGCAAAACAGAUUAUUUCUUGAAGGUUUAGAGAAUGGCACAUGCAAAUUUACUUGGAACGGCAGGUAAAUACCGCAAAUAGGUAGGUAUAGUGGACUCUCAUGGAAAAACUUUUGGGUUUAUGGAAGUGGAUGCACAAGCAGUAUUCCGCUUAGUACAAGUGAAGGCUAGCAAAAGACUGGGAAGCGACCAACUGGAGAGCGACAACAGUCAUCAAGAUGCAAUGAGUUUGACUAACAUGGAGUGCAAGCAUGAACAGGAUAUAAAUCACCAUGAACACGAACAUCAUAGAGGCUAUGUUGAUUUUGUUUCAACUACAUGCAUGAACAUGCGCCAAGUCAAGCCACUUGAAUCAUUCAAAGAAGAAUACCAUCCUAUCAUACUACAUCAUAGUCAUCUCAAAAUCUAUGUUGGCAUUCAAGACAAACCAUUAUAAGCUCUUAGCUAAAUAAGCAUGGCAUCAGAAACUAUGAUCUCUAAGUUGUCAUUGCAAACAUGGGUUUCUCACAACAAAGCUGAAUCUGGGAUGACAAGCUAGUCAUAUUUACAAAAAAAAUAGAUAGAGUUCAUACCAGCUUUUCCAGUCUCAGUCACUUCAUCAUAUAUCAUCAUUAUUGCCUUUCACUUGCACGAUCGAACGAUGUGAACAAUAAUAAAAGUGCUCGUGCAUUGGACUAAGCUGAAUCUGCAUGCAGACACAAAGGAGAAGCCAAAGUAAUAUGGGUCUUUGAAAGCUAAACAGGUAUGCAUGCAAGAGCCACUAAACAUUGUAACCAAUAUCUUCUACCUUGACCCAAAGAAAAAGAAAACUAUUUACACGGGAAAGCUCCCAACAAGCAAAAAGAAGAAAGGAAAAUCUUUUUGGGUUUUCUCAAAAGGACACAAAACAAGAAAACAGGAAAACGAAAAUAAACUAGCAUGGAUAAUACAGUGGCAAAGUGUAAACACCGACUAACAAAGUGAAAGCAUAAGCAUGAAUGUAAGGUCGGUGAGAACACGUACUCCCCCAAGCUUAGGCUUUUGGCCUAGCUUGGUCUACUCCCAAGGACGGUCCUGGCGAAACCCAAAAUCAUAAUCGGGGUUAUACGGGAGCGCUGCAGCCACCGCCUGAAUAGCUGCCUCACGGAGACGAGCAACCGUCGCCUCCCUCUCAUACUCCUCUGCCUCUCCUAUGGUUAUGUAGUAUCUCCGUUUUACCUGAAAGUCAAAGAAAGCAGGAGCAGGAAGGGUAAUAUGGAAAACACGCUGCCGGUUAAAUAUCAAUCGGCAUAGGAGGGAUUCAUCAUCCCUCUCAAGGAACUGGUAGCGUGUCAUAGCGACGCGGUCAAGGAAAGCUGUAUGGAGCGGGGGAUCUCCUGCGCGGAUGGGUACUCCAAGAAAAUUUGCUAUGCGAGUGCCAUAGAUGCCGCCAAAGAAAUCUCCCUCAAUAGCAUUCUUAUUCAGCCUCCUUGCUAUAAUAGCUCCCAUGUUGAAGCUUUUGUCACCCGUAAAUGCGCUCUUAAGGAUACUAAGGUCGGAUGCGCAUAGGUAACAAUGUUCAACCUUAUCGUUAAUGCAUCUACCUAUGAAGAGGGCAAAGUAGUGCAAGGCAGGGAAAUGAAUGCUUCCUAUGGUAGCUUGCGUGAUGUCUCUAGUUUCUCCAACAGAUAUACUAGAGAAAAAAAAUCUCUAACCGAAGACUUAGCAGGAUCUUUAAGAUUACCCCAAUUGGGUAUUUUGCAAAUCCUAUUGAAAUCCUCCAAAUCCAUGGCAUAGGAUUUAUCAUACAGAUCAAACAGUAUGGAUGAGUCACGGCCAACUGAAAAUUUAAAUCUACGCACGAAAGAGGCAGUGAGCAUAGCAUACUGUUCACAUUUAUCUGAGAGGAAUUCUUCUAACCCGGCAUUGUGGACAAGUGUAUGAAACUCAUCCUUGAAGCCUGCUUCGAUCAUAAACUCAUCGGAAGGCCACUCACAUGGUUGUACCGGUGCGUCCCUUAGUUGAUAAGGUUCGGGCUCCCGAAUGGAAAGACGGGGACCCUUCUUACUUGAGGAACCACCAUGAAAAUUCCUCGUGAACAUAAUUUCUUUUUGCUGAAAUUUUGAAGUUCAAGAGAAAAGUGAAUAAAGACCAACCACACCUUGUAGCAACUACUCCUACUAGUGUCUAGGGACCGUAUCACGCGCUAAAACUACUUGGGACCAGCUAAAAUCAACAUAUCAAGCUCAAGAACAGGGUCACCAAGGUAGCAAGAAUACGCGGAAGAUAAAGCACUAGAGCAAAAACUAAUUGGACCAAUGGAGGAGUCACUUACCAAGGAGUAAUUUCCCCAAAACGGUUCGGAGAAUGGUGCUUUGAGCAAGGAGAUCGAAAAUCACAGCCAAAUGAGCAAGAACACGGGUUUGAGCUGCGAAACGAUUUUUUCUGGAGGUAGAGGAAGAGGAUGGGAGCUGGAAUGAGUGGAGGGGGUCCCUAUGGGCCCCACAAGCUUGCUUGCCGCGACUAGGGGGGUGGCCGCGGUGACAGGGCUUGUGGCCCACUGGUGUGGCCCCCCAGGCGAGCUCUCAGUCCCAGUAUUUUUCAAAUAUUCCAGAAAAAAUCAUACUAGAUUUUCAGGACCAUCGGAGAACUUUUAUUUUCGGGGUACUUUUCUCCGGGAUGCUAAAACAGAAAACAGGGAAAACUAAACUAACCCUAUCAUUUUUCUUCUAAGCAACAGAAAGUGAAAGCUUAAAACAGAGGUAUGUGAGUCUUUGGUUCAUCCAUUUCAUGGUCAUCGAAGGAAAUCCGUCAAUGGGGUUGAUCAAAUCCUCAUGACACAACUUUUUCGAAUCGCAAAAGGAAACGGAGAAUUUUCUAAUAGUCACUAAGUCACCUCAAUGGGGAUAUGAAUCUCCCCAACAAGCAAAUCAUACUUCAUCUUGACACGGGGAAUAGGGCAUUCAAAGCUACCAAUAAGAAUCGAUGAAGUUUUUUCGAUAGCAUUGAUGCAAUGUACUUGAUAUCGUUUCUUCGGAAAGUGCAUGGUAUGCUCAUUAACGUUGACAUGGAAAGUGACAUUGCCUUUGUUGCAAUCUAUAACAUCCCAUGUAGUGUUUAAAAAGGGUCUUCCGAGGAUGACAAACAUGGCAUCGUCCUCGGGAAUAUCCAAGAUAACAAAGUCUGUUAAGAUAGUGGUGUUAGCAACCACAACAGGCACAUCCUCGCAAAUGCCGAUAGGGAAAGCAGUUGAUUUGUCGGCCAUUUGCAAAGAAAUUUCAGUGGGUGUCAACUUAUCUAGUUCAAGUCUACGAUAAAGAGAGAGAGGCAUAACACUAACUCCGGCUCCAAGGUCACAUAAGGCAGUUCUUACAUAGUUUCCUUUAAUGGAGCAAGGUAUAGUGGGCACUCCGGGAUCACCAAGUUUCUUAGGAGUUCCACCUUUGAAAGUGUAAUUGGCAAGCAUGGUGGAGAUCUCAAGAUCUGGUAUCUUCCAUUUGUUGGUCACGAUAUCUUUCAUGUACUUGGCAUAUGGAGACUUUUUGAGCAUAUCAACUAACCGCAUCUCCAGAAAGACGGGUCUUAUCAUUUCAAUAAAGCGCUCAAAAUCCUCAUCAUCUUUUUCUUGGAUGGCUUAGGAGGAAAGGGCAUAGGUCCCUGAACCCAUGGCUCUUUACCAUGCUUCCUAGCAGUGAAGUCAUUCUUAUCAUAUCUCUUAGGUUGUGGUUCAUCAGGAUUAAUCGUAGGUUCAAUCUCCACAUCCUUAUCAUUGCUAGUUUGAGCAUCAUUAUGAACAUCGCUGUCCAUAUUGUCACCAGGUUCAUGUUCAUCACCAGAUUGUGUUUCUGCAUCAGACGCGGAAAUAUCAUUUGGUUCUUCAGGUGUGACAGUAUUUGGUGAACUAACAUGUAGGUUUCUAUCAUCCUUCUUCUUCUCCUUAGGAUGACUGGGUGUAUCAGCAUUAAUUCCUUGAGAAUCUUGAUCAAUUCUCUUAGGAUGACCUUCAGGAUACAAAGGUUCUUGAGUCAUUUUGCCUCCUCUAGUAAUGACUCUGACAGAGUUUUCAUUUAAUUCAUUGAGCAAGUCAUUCUGAGCUUUAAGUACUUGUUCUACCUGAGUAGUAAUCAUAGAGGCAUGUUUACUCAGAAGCUUCAGAUCAUUGACAUUUCUGUCUACAUAAGCCCUUAAAUGACUAAGCAUACGAGUACUUUGUUCCAAAUGUCUGCUAACAUAAUCAUUGAAACUCUGUUGUUUGGCAACAAAGUUGUCAAAUUCAUCAAAGCAUAAGCUAGCAGGUUUGUCAAAAGGAAUAUCACUCUCAUCAAACCUACGCAGAGAAUUUACUUCUACUACCUGUAUCGGGUUAUCGAUACCAUGGAUCUCUUCGAUAGGUGGUAGAUUUUUGACAUCUUCAGAUCUAAUGCCUUUCUCUUGCAUAGAUUUCUUAGCUUCUUGCAUAUCUUCGGGACCGAGGAAUAUAAUACCUCUUUUCUUCGGAGUUGGCUUAGGUGGUGGUUCGGGAAUAGUUCAAGCAUUAUCGUUGAUCAAGAUGUUAUUCAGUAGAGUCUCAGCUUGUUCUAUAGUUCGUUCCCAAAAAACACAACCGACACAACUAUCUAGGUGGUCUCUAGAAGCAUCGGUAAGUCCGUUAUAGAAGAUAUCAAGUAUCUCGUUCUUCUUAAGAGGGUGAUUAGGCAAAGCAUUCUGUAGCUGGACGAGCCUCCCCCAAGCUUGUGGGAGACUCUCUCUUUGAGUUGAGCAAAGUUGUAUAUUUCCUGCAAGGCAGCUUGCUUCAUAUGGGCAGGGAAAUAUUUCUCACAGAAGUAAUAGACCAUAUCCUGGGGACUACUCACACAUCUAGGAGCAAGAGAAGUGAACCAGGCUUUAGCGUCAUCCUUUACAGAGAAAGGAAAUAGCUUAAGGAUAUAGUAGUGGCAGAUCUUCUCCUCACUAGUGAAAAGGGUGGCUAUAUCGUGUAGUUUGGUAAGAUGGGUUACGAGCGUCUCAGACUCAUAACCGUGGAAAGGAUCAGAUUCGACUAGAGAGAUUAUCUCAGGGUCAACAAAGAAUUCAUAAUCCUCAUCGGUGAUAAAGAUAGGUGAAGUGGCAAACUUCGGGUUGUAUUUCAUCCUAGCUUUCAGAGAUUUUUCCUUCCACUUGAGAAGUAAUUUCUCAGCGUCAUAGGCAUCCUUACACGCAAGAAAAUCCUCAGCUAUCUCUCCCUCCAUAACGUAACCCUCAGGUAUAUCAGGAAAUUCAUAUCUAGGAGAGCUAGAUCUAGCAGGAGCAAAAGCAGGUUCUAACUCAAUAGUAUCGGCAGUUUCAGAAGCAUGACGAGCAUUGGCAGUAACUCUAGCAAUAUGAGCAUCAAGGAAUACCCCUAGUGGCACAUCAGACAAAGUAGUAUCUCUAGCAGUAUCAAGCAUAACAUAAUCAGGCAAAAUAGCAUCUCUAGCAUCAUCAGGCAAAGAAGUAUCAAGCAUAGCAUCAUCAGGCAUAACAUCUCUAGCAGUAUCAGGCAUAUCAUCUCUAGCAGUAGCGUCAUAACCAUCAUCAAGCACAUGCGACAUAUCAAGAUUUCUAGCAGGACGUGAUGUCGCAAACUUACUCAUAACUGAAGGUGAAUCAAGUGCAGAGCUAGAUGGCAGUUCCUUACCCUCGUAGUUGAGGGCAAAACUUUGGUUUUUGGAUCUUUCAAAUUCUUCAUAGUGAUGAGCAGAUAUAAAUCCCAAGUGACUCAGAGAAUAUAGCAAUCCCUUCCCCGGCAACGGCGCCAGAAAAAAUGCUGCUAGCAGUCCCCGGCAACGGCACUAGAGAAAUGCUGUUGACGUGUUCCUGACUUGAUGCCUCCAUGGCAACGGAGCCAUGACUGCUCCCAGUUGCUCAACAAUUAGCAAUUGUCUUGCAAUGGCCCACCAGCGCGUGGGUUCGCAGCGGUUUUCGAGGGUAGAGUAUUCAACCCAAAUUUGUUGGUUCGCCCGACAGGAAGUGAAAGGAUACUCUCAAGUAUUAGCAGCUGAAUGUGUCAGAUUCAAACACACCUGAAAGAUUAGUAUCUGCAAGAAAAGUAUCAGCAGCAAAGUAGUAUGAUAAAAAUGGUGCAAGAAACGAUCUGUUGACGACAGACUAUUCCUAACAGUUGUAUCAAUGGCGCCAAAAGUUUCCCGUGUACGGGAAAUAUUCUUUCCCGAUGACGGGGCGAGAAAAAGUAUUGUAGCAGGGCAACGAGUAUCAGCAGUGGCCAGGAACAGCAGUAGUGACAGCAGUAGCAAGUAGCAACAGUAGCAAGUAACAACAGUAGCAAGUAGCAGUAGAGCAAAGCAAGUAACAGCAGCAACAACAGUAGUAACAACAGCAGAGCAAAACAAGUAACAACAGCAGUGGGACAAACUCGUAGGCAAUGGGUCGGUGAUUCGUUUGGAUGACAUUCAUCAUGCCACAGUUAUAACACGGAGAGAUAUGUGGCUAGCUCCCGUUCGUCAAUGUGAUGUAGGCAUGCAUUCCGUGUGUCGUCAUACGUGCUUAGGGAAAAGAACUUGCAUGACAUCUAUUGUUCAUCCCUCCCGUGGCAGCGGGGUCCAAAAGGAUACUACGGGUUAUUAAGGUUCUCCUUUUAAUAAAGAACCGGAACAACGCAUUAGCACUUGGUGAACACAUGAACUCCUCAAACUAUGGUCAUCACCGGGAGUGGUUCCGGUUAUUGUCACUCCGGGGUUGCCGGGUCAUAACACAUAGUAGGUAACUACAACUUGCAAGAUCGGAUCUAAAACACACAUAUAUUGGUGACAACAUAAUAAUUUCAGAUCUGAAAUCAUGGCACUCGGGCCCUAGUGACAAGCAUUAAGCAUGGCAAAGUAGUAGCAACAUCAAUCUCAGAACAUAGUGGAUACUAGGGAUCAAUCCCCGUCAAAACUAACUCGAUUACAUGAUAGAUCUCAUCCUACUCAUCACCGCCCAGCGAGCCUACGAAUAGAUUACUCACAAACGAUGAAGAGCUUCAUGGAAUUGGAGAGGGAAGAAGGUUGAUGAUGACGGUGGCGACGAUUGCCCUUCUCCGGAGCCCAAAACAGGCUCUAGAUCUGUCCUCCAGAUGAAGAACAGGAUGUGGCGGCGCCUCCGUAUCGCAAACGCGAUGAAAUCUUCUCUUCUGUUUUUUUGGGACGAAAGUGAAUUUAUAGAGCUGGAGUGGGGGGCGGCAGACCCACGUGGGCCCCACAAGCUUGGUUGUCGCGGCGAGGGGGGCCGCGGCAACAGGGCUUGUGGCCCAUUGGCCCAUCCGCUCCGGUGGAUCUUUGUGCAGGUAUUUUUCAAAUUUUCCAGAAAUAUUCUCCGUAAAUUUUCAGGAUGUACCAAGAACUUUCAUUUCUGCACAAAAACAACACCAUGGCAAUUCUGCUGAAAACAGCGUCAGUCCGGGUUAGUUCCAUUCAAAUCAUGCAAAUUAGAGUCCAAAACAAGGGCAAAAGAAUUUGGAAAAGUAGAUACGAUGGAGACGUAUCAGGUGACAAUUCAGAGGCGAAGAGGUCAUGGUUUUCCUGCUGCCACCUUGCCUAGUCACCCCAAAGGUUGGGAAAACACUUGGUUUUACUGUAAGAAAACUUCACGUGUCAAUGGGAACCCCCUACCAGGUUUUAGAUAAGAGCGCCUUCCAAUGGAUUUUGAACUGCUCGACUGACCUACUCUAUAAGAACGUGCCACUCUUGCCUCUGUAUGUCCCAAACUCAGAGCCCUGAAGGCCAAUGGUUUGACCAGCGUUGAUCUGACCGGUGUUGGGUAGAUUGGUGGAUCAUGCCCCUGAGUCACCGUGGCGUUCUAAUGUGCGAGUAUGACAACGACUUGAACAAUGUGCAACACUUCAACGACAUCAUGCUCGAUUCCAUGAAGUCAACAGAGCUGUAAAGAGGCUGUUGGGUGAACCCAAAGAAGCUUGCGUUAAAAUUGGACUGAAGCCGUUCUAUACUCAGAACCUGGCUGCUGAGGUAGGUAAUCUUUAACAUCUUCUCCCUUGCUUAUGCAUUUCUCUGGUGCUUUAAAACUCGCUUUUCCUUGUCAAUUAUUUUUGCACAAGAACUCACCCUUAUUGAAACGGAGACAACAAAAGGUGUCUGCCAAGAAAACCAAAGUUGCCCCAAAAAAGAAGAAAAACAAGGUGGCUAUUGAAGAGUCGUCGGUCAUGGGCGAGUCAAAAACCAUUGAUGACCAAUCUGAGGUAAACCUUUAUCUUCACCCUAUUUUUAACUUAUGCUUACUAAUCACUUCUUCAAUCUCAGGAUGAUGACGCUGAUAGCCAAGAUGAAGAAGUUGAGGUAAUUUCAAUCUCUUCCGACUCAGAUAUCUCGUUUCCAAGGCCACCAAGGCGGGCUGUUAGGAAAAUUCCUUUGUCUCACCCGGAAGCAUAUUUGGCUCCCGAUUUCCUUUUGAAGAAGGCUUUAUUUGCCCCAAGGCGCCAGACCCGAAGCUCUUCGGGUGAUCUUGCGACGAGUUUACUUGAGAAAGCCUCCACUCGUAAACGACGAAACGAGGUAGCCGAUAACCCAUCCCUUUCUUUUAAAGCUAGCCACAUUCAACGGCCUCUUAAACCUUUUGACUCAAAUUAUCAGGAAUCUCCACCUCCAUCGGGCAACUCAUCUGCGUCAAAGCUGCCACCUCUUGUUUUCCUUCCAGGGUAACUUUUGCUUUUGUGUCUAAUACUUGCCUUAGUACUUUUAAUCCAUUAUAUGUGCCUUAACUUCUACUCUUCAAGGCUUAGGAUAAAGCCAAAAGAGGAAAGUUGGUGGGUCAUCAAAUAAUCCUGGUGCACCUAAACAUGAGGAUUUGGAAUUUACUAUUCAUGAGAUCAUGUUGAGCCGGUUGACACACGUGUUGAACUUCCUGAAAUUCAUCAAGGCACCGUUGAUGAUCCUGCUGAUAUUCAUGUUGAGCCGGAAAGUGCUGAUGGAACAACCAUGGAGACAAGUCCGAAGGCCAAUCCUUACCCGCCUAGUCCUCCAAAAACAACCAAGGACGCUACGUUUGGCGGGGAAAGGGUUGUCAUCACUGGGACGUGUUAUACAACACCUGUCUCCACCGUCUUGGACAAGCACACUGCUAAAGGUGCAACGCGUUUACGAGAGAAAUGGAAAGCUAAGCUUGAGCUUCCCAAUAUUGAAAAACUUAGUUUCAAAGAACUGCACUCUGGAUAUCCAAGCCGCCUCUCCACCAACCGGGAUAUGGAGGCUAGCCUGGUUGGUAUGAUGAAGAAAAGAUAUGAGGUAUGCUGAACUCAAACUUGUACUCCAUAUAUCCUUAUGUAGCCCCCAAUGGUCGUGUCAUCUUCUUGAAGAUGAGUUGGGUCUUGAUGAAAUAAAAUUAUGAAAAAUCCGCCUGUAGCCCCCAAGGGCCGAGUCAUCUUCUUGAAGAUGAAUCGGUUCUUAUCAUACUUUCUUGUGAGAUUUUGACCUGUAGCCCUGAUACGUCCAUUUUGCAUCAUGCUUUCAUGUUGAUAUUUAUCGCUUUAUGGUCUGAUAUAUUACUUUGUGGUACCAUACUUAUGUCUUUUCUCUCUUAUUUUGCAAGGUUUAUUUGAAGAGGGAGAAUACCGACAGCUGGAAUUCUGGACUAGAAAAGGAGCAAGUCUGAGUCCUCUAUUCUAGCAACUCCAAAUGCCCUGAAAAUCAACGAGGAAUUUUUUGGGAAUAUAUAAAAAAUACUGGGCGAAAGAAGUGCCAGAGGGGAGCUACCAGGGGCCCACAAGCCUGGUAGCCGCCACCUACCCCCUAGCGGCGGCUACAUGGCUUGUGGGCACCCUGGUGGCCCACUGGCCCCCCUCUUUUGCUAUAUGAAGGGUUUCGUCCAGGAAAAAAAUCAGGGUGGAGAUUUUUCAUGGAUUCUCCGCCGCCACGAGGCGGAACUUGAGCAGAACCAAUCUAGAGCUCCGGCAGGACGAUCCUGCCGGGGAAACUCCCCUCCCGGAGGGGGAAAAUCGUCGCCAUCGUCAUCACGAACACUCCUCUCGUCGGAGGGGAGUCAUCUGCAUCAACAUCUUCAUCAGCACCAUCUCCUCUCCAAACCCUAGUUCAUCUCUUGUAACCAAUCUCCGUCUCGCGACUCCGAUUGGUACUUGUAAGGUUGCUAGUAGUGUUGAUUACUCUUUGUAGUUGAUGCUAGUUGGAUUACUUGGUGGAAGAGUAUUUGUUCAGAUCCUUGAUGCUACUCAUUACACCUCUGAUCAUGAUUAUGAUUAUGUCUUGUGAGUAGUUACUUUUUUUCCUGAGGACAUGGGAUAAGUCAUGCUGAUAAUAGUCAUGUGAAUUUGGUAUUCGUUCGUCAUUUUGAUAUGCUGUAUGUUGUCUUUUCCUCUAGUGGUGUUACGUGAACGUCGACUACAUAACACUUCACCAUCUUUGGGCCUAGAGGAAGGCAUUGGGGAGUAGUAAGUAGAUGAUGGGUUGCUAGAGUGACAGAAGCUUAAACCCUAGUCUAUGCGUUGCUUCGUAAGGGGCUGAUUUGGAUCCACUAGUUUAAUGCCAUGGUUAGACGUUGUCUUAAUUCUUCUUUCGUAGUUGCGGAUGCUUGCGAGAGGGGUUAAUCAUAAGUGGAAUGCUUGUCAAAGUAAGGGAAGCACCCCAAGCGCCGGUCCACCCACAUAUCAAACUAUCAAAGUAACGAACGUGAAUCACAUGAACAUGAUGAAACUAGCAUGACAGAAAUUCCCGUGUGUCCUCGGGAGCGCUUUUCCUCCUAUAAGACUUUGUUUAGGCUUGUCCCUUGCUACAAAAGGGAUUGGGCCACUUGCUGCACCGUUACUACUACUUGUCACUUGUUACUUUUCACUUGCUACGUUUCACCUCACUACACCAUCACUUGUUACCGCUACUUUCAGUGCUUGCAGUAAUUACCUUGCUGAAAACCGUUUAUCAGAGCCUUCUGCUCCUCGUUGGGUUCGACACUCUUAAUUAUCAAAAUGACUACGAUUGAUCCCCUAUACUUGUGGGUCAUCAAGACUCUUUUCUGGCGACGUUGCCGGGGAGCCAGGUGCCUUUGGUAAGUGGAAUUUGGUAAGGAAACAUUUAUAUACUGUGCUGAAAUUUAUUGUCACUUGUCACUAUGGAAACUGUUCCUUUGAGGAAUUUGUUCGGGGUAUCUUCACCACGAACGGAAGCACAAGAAGUUGCUCCUCAGCCUGAGGUACCUACUAAAAAUAUAUUUUAUGAAAUUCCUUCGGGUAUGCUUGAGAAACUGCUGGCUAAUCCUUUUACAGGAGAUGGAUCAUCACAUCUAGACUUGCAUCUAAUCUAUGUAGAUGAAGUUUGUGGUUUAUUUGAGCUUGCAGGUUUGCCUGAGGAUGAGGUAAAUAAGAAAGUCUUUCCUUAAUCUUUGAAGGAUAAGGCAUUGACAUGGUAUAGGCUAUGUGAUGAUACUGGAUCAUGGGACUACAAUCGGUUGAAAUUGGAAUUUCAUCAAUAGUUUUAUCCUAUGCAUUUAGUACAUCGUGAUCGGAAUUAUAUUUAUAACUUUUGGCCUUGUGACAGGGAAAGCAUAGCUCAAGCUUGGGGGAGGCUUAAAUCAAUGCUAUAUUCAUGCCCCAAUCAUGAGCUCUCGAGAGAAAUUAUCACUCAAAACUUUUAUGCUUGGCUUUCUCAUGAAGAUCGUACCAUGCUUGACACUUCUUGUACCGGUUCUUUUAUGAAGAAGGAUAUUGACCACAAGUGGAAUUUAUUGAAAGAAUCAAACGUAACUCUGAAGAUUGGGAGCUUGAAGAAGGUAAGGAGUCAGGUAUGAAUUUCCAGUUUGAUUGCGUUAAAUCUUUUGUUGAAACAAACACUUCUAGAGAUUUUAGCACUAAGUAUGGACUUGGCUGUGAGAUAGUAGCUUCUUUAUGUGAAUCCUUUGCUCCUCAUGUUGAUAUUCCCAAAGAGAAGUGGUUUAAGUAUCAUCCUCAUGUAGAAGUCAACAUAGUUAAACCCAAUCUAGUUGAAGAGAAAGUCAUUGCCUUUAGUGAUCCUUGUUCCUACGCUGAGAAACCACCUUACCCUGCUAGGAAAAAGGAUUAUUGUAAAGCUCCAACUAUGAUACGUAGGGGUUACAUUAGACCACUUGCACCCCGUGAAGAAAUUAGAGUUGAACCUAGUGUUGCUAUUAUCAAAGAUCUCUUAGCCGAAGACAUAGACGGGCAUGUUAUCAAAUUCUGUGAGGACUCCGCUAGAAUUGCUAAACGUCACGCGAAAGACAAAUACGGACUUGUAGUUGGCCUGCCCGUUGUUUCUGUCAAGAUAGGAGAUCACUGUUAUCAUGGUUUAUGUGAUAUGGGCGCUAGUGUUAGUGCAAUACCCCGGUCCCUAUACGAUGAAAUCAAAGAUGAGAUUGCACCUGCUGAGUUAGAACCCAUUAUGUCACUAUCAUGCUAGCUAAUAGAGACACUAUCUGCCCUGUGGGAAUUGUGCGAGAUGUAGAAGUCUUGURUCGNNNNNNNNNNNNNNNNNNNNNNNNNNNNNNNNNNNNNNNNNNNNNNNNNNNNNNNNNNNNNNNNNNNNNNNNNNNNNNNNNNNNNNNNNNNNNNNNNNNNGAUAGCUGGUACUUGUAAGGUUGCUAGUAGUGUUGAUUACUCUUUGUAGUUGAUGCUAGUUGGAUUACUUGGUGGAAGAGUUUAUGUUCAGAUCCUUGAUGCUACUCAUUACACCUCUGAUCAUGAUUAUGAUUAUGCUUUGUGACUAGUUACUUUUGUUCCUGAGGACAUGGGAUAAGUCAUGUUGAUAAUAGUCAUGUGAAUUUGGUAUUCGUUCGGUAUUUUGAUUUGCUAUAUGUUGUCUUUUCCUCUAGUGGUGUUAUGUGAACGUCGACUACAUAACACUUCACCAUCUUUGGGCCUAGAGGAAGGCAUUGGGGAGUAGUAAGUAGAUGAUGGGUUGCUAGAGUGAAAGAAGCUUAAACCCCAGUCUAUGUGUUGCUUCGUAAGGGGCUGAUUUGGAUCCACUAGUUUAAUGCUAUGGUUAGACGUUGUCUCAAUUCUUAUUUCGUAGUUGCGGAUUCUUGCGAGAGGGGUUAAUCAUAAGUGGGAUGCUUGUCCAAGUAAGGGCAGUACCCAAGCGCCGGUCCACGCACAUAUCAAACUAUCAAAGUAACGAACGCGAAUCACAUGAACAUGAUGAAACUAGCAUGACAGAAAUUCCCGUGUGUCCUCGGGAGCGCUUUUCCUCCUAUAAGACUUUGUUCAGGCUUGUCCCUUGCUACAAAAGGGAUUGGGCCAUUUUCUGCACCGUUGCUACUACUUGUUACUUGUUACUUUUCACUUGCUACGUUUCACCUCACUACACCAUCACUUGUUACCGCUACUUUCAGUGCUUGCAGUUAUUACGUUGCUGAAAACCGUUUAUCAUAGCCUUCUGCUCCUCGUUGGGUUCGACAUUCUUACUUAUCGAAAGGACUACGAUUGAUCCCCUAUACUUGUGGGUCAUCAAGCCCCCAAGGGCCGAGUCAUCUUCUUAAAAAUGAGUCGGGUCUUAUCAUACUUGUGAGAUUUCAACCUGUAGCCCCCAAGGGCCGANNNNNNNNNNNNNNNNNNNNNNNNNNNNNNNNNNNNNNNNNNNNNNNNNNNNNNNNNNNNNNNNNNNNNNNNNNNNNNNNNNNNNNNNNNNNNNNNNNNNGGAUGCAUAUGAAGCAAAAAUUAUUCAUGCACAGGUUACCCGAGGGAGGUAAUGUUUUGAAUCAUAUUUUAGAAUUUAAAGAGAUCAUAUCCGAUCUAGCUGCAAUGUAGGUUAAGUAUGACGAGGAAGAUAUUGUUUUGAUGUCACUUUGUUCACUGCCAAGUUCUUAUACCAAUUUCCGAGACACCAUAUUAUACAGUCGUGAUACUCUCAUGCUUAAUAAAGUUUAUGAAGCUUUGAACUCUAAGGAGAAGAUGAAAUUAAUGGUGCCUCAUGAUGGUUCAAGUUCAUCCCAAGCCAAUGGAUUAUUGUUCACGGUAGGACAAAGGAGAAGAACUCACAUAAUGGAAACCGUGGCAAAAGUAAGAACGACUACACGGGCCGGUCGCAAUCCAAAGACAAGAAACAAUCUUGCAGAUAUUGCAAGAUAGACGGGAAUGACAUCUCAUAAUAUUGCAAGUUGCAGAACAAGGAAUAGAGGAGCGACACAUACAAACCAAAAGGUAACAAACAAGGUGAAAGUUCUGCUAAUGUUGCUCGUGAUGAUAGUUCAAAAGAUGCUCUUGUUGUUAUUGCUGGAUGUGCUGAGACCAAUGAUGAUAGGGUACUUGACACUGUAUGUACUUUUCAUAUGUUCCCGAAUAGAGAUUGGUUUACUACUUUUGAUUCUACUACUGCCGUUUGUUCCGUUUUGGGUUUUGAUAAUUCACCAUCCAUGGUUGAAGGCAUAGGUUCCAUUCGAAUCAAGAUGUUUGAUGGCACAAUCACAACUUUUACAGAUGUUCGAUGUAUUCCAAUGAUGAAGAGAAAUAUUAUCUCUCUGAGUGCGCUUGAUGCAAAGGGAUACAAGUUUUCAAGGGAAGAUAGCGUUUUGAAGGUCACCAAAGGUUAUCUCAUUAUGGUGAAGGAUGACUUAAGUUCGACCAAUUGUAUUUAUUACCUUCGAGGUUCUACCAUUUCAGGUAACGCUACUAUGGUUAUUUCAAAGAAUUCUGGUUGUGAUGAUGCUAACCUUUCGCACAUGCGUCUUGGACAUAUGAGUGAACUUGGUUUGGCAGAGUUAAAUAAGAGAGGUCUUCUUAAAUGAUAUGAAUCUGAUAAGUUGAAAUUUUGUGAGCAUUGUAUCUUCGGCAAGGACAAGAGGGUGAAGUUCAACACUUUGACUCAUACAAUAAAGGUAUUCUUGAUUAUGUGUAUUCUGAUUUAUGGGGACAAUCUCACAAAAAGUCACUAGGUGGUCCUAGUUACAUUUUAACUAUUAUUGAUGAUUAUUCUACAAAAGUUUGGCCUUAUUUCUUGGAGCAUAAAUGGCAAGCAUUCUCAGCUUUUAAGGAGUGGAAGAUUAUGAUUGAGAGGAAAACUAAAAAUAAGGUAAAAAUACUUCGCACUGAUAAUGGUAUGGAAUUCUAUUCUAAGCAAUUUGAGAAUUAUUGCAAGUCUGAAGGCAUUGUUAGACACUACACCAUUCCUUAUACUCCUCAAUGAAACAGUGUUGUCGAGCGUAUGAACAUGACCAUUAUUUCCAAAGCUUGUUGCAUGUUGUCCAAUGCAGGUUUGCAUAGGCGUUUUUGGGCUGAAGCCGCUUCCACUUCUUGUUAUCUCAUUAACCGUCCACCAUCUAUUGCUCUUAAUAAGAAAACUCCAACUAAGGUAUGGUCUGGUGCACCUGUUGAUUAUUCAUAGUUGAGAGUUUUUGGUUGCACUACUUAUGCUCAUGUUGAUAAUGGAAAGUUGUAGCCUAGGGCUGUUAAGUGCAUCUUUCUUGGUUACAAACCUGGUGUUAAAGGUUUUAAAUUGUGGACUCCUGAAACACAUAAGAUUUUUAUCAGCAGAAAUGUUAUCCUUAAUGAAUCAUCUAUGUUACUUGAUGUUCCAUCUACUAAUGUUCCUGUUGAAAGUGAACAACAGCCUACUGUUCAGGUGGAGCAUGUUAUCGAUUCAGGUGAUAAUUCUGACAAGGAAAAUGUUGAUGCACAUGACGAUCCCGUCUUUGAUGAUGGACAUGUCACUCCAAAUCAUCCUAUUGUUCCAACCGGUUGGAAUCUCGCACGUGACAGAGUUAAGUGGGGUAUUAAUGCACCUGAAAGGUUAUUGAAGAGUGCAAUAUUGUUUCUUUUGCUUUAUCUGUUGUCGAAGAAAUUGAAGGUAAUGCCGAGCCUUCUUCAUAUUCUGAGGCUAUUAUUUCUGGUGAUAGUAAUAAACGGAUGACUGCUAUGCAUGAUGAUAUGGAGUCACUUGAAAAGAAUGGCACUUGGGAUUUAGUAAGAAUACCUAGAGAGAAGGAACAUAUUCGUUGCAAGUGGGUUUUCAAAAGAAAGGAAGGUGUUUCUCCUAAUGAUGAGAAAAGAUAUAAAGCAAGUUUAGUUGCUAAAGGUUAUAGUCAAAUUCCAGUUAUUUACUAUAACAAAGUAUUUUCUCGUGUUGUGAAGCAUAUCUCUGUUUGCACUUUACUUAGUAUUGCUGCCAUGAAUGAUUUUGAUCUUGAACAAUUGGAUGUUAAAACUGCAUUUUUACAUCGAGAAUUAGAAGGGGAUAUUUAUAUAGAUCAACGUGAAGGUUUUGUUAUUCCUAGAAAAGCAAAGCUUGUCUGUAAGUUAAAAAUAUAUAUUUAUGGAUUGAAGCAAUCCCCUAGGUAGUGGUACAAGAGAUUUGACACCUUUAUGCUCUCUCAAGGUUUCGAAUGGUCUAAUUAUGAUAGCUAUGUUUAUUUGAAAACGGUCAAUGGUUCAACUAUUUAUUUGCUCCUUUAUGUUGAUGAUAUGUUAAUUGCUGCAAAGAGCAUGUUAGAGAUUGAUGAACUAAACAAGCAAUUGAGUAAUUAAUUUGAGAUGAAGGAUUUGGGUGCAACAAAGAAAUUACUUGGCAUGUAAAUAUCUAGAGAUAGACCAUCUGGAAAAUUAUAUCUAACUGAGAAGGGAUAUAUUGAUAAAGUUCUUCGUCGUUUUAAUAUGCAUAAUGCCAAGCCACUAAGUUCUCCAUUAGCUGCACACUUGAAAUUAUCAUCAACCUUAUGUCGUAAGUCAGAUUCUAAGAUUGAGUACAUUUCUAGAGUUCCCUAUUCAAGUGCAGUCGGUUCACUUAUGCAUGACAUGGUUUGUUCUCAUCCUGAUUUAUCUUAUGCAUUGAGUGUUGUUAGUAGAUACAUGGAUAAUCCUGGAAAAGAGCAUCGAAAAGCAGUUCAGUGGAUUUUCACAGACCUGCGAGGUACUUCUAAUUCUUAUUUACAUUUUGGGAAAACUAGAGAUGGACUUGUUAGUUUUGUUGAUUUUGAUUUUGAUGGUGAUUUGGAUAAGAUAAGAUCACUCACAUAUUAUGUUUUCACCAUUGGUGGUUGUGAUGUGAGUUGGAGAGCAACUUUGCAGUCUACUGUGGCUUGUUCCACAAUCGAUGCCGAGUAUAUGGCUAUUUCUGAGGCAUGUAAAGAAGCUAUUUGGUUGAGAGGUUUAUACACUGAGCUUUGUGGAGACUCGUCUCGCCCUACCAUAUUUAGUGACAGUCAAUGUGCUAUAUAUCUUAUAAAGAAUCCAAUGUAUCAUGAGAGAACGAAGCACAUUGAUCUCCGAUUUCACUAUAUUCGAGAUGUUGUUGCUAAAGGUGAUUUGAAGGUAUGCAAGAUAAGUACCCAUGAUAAUCCAGCUGAUAUGAUGACAAAGCCAGUUCCUACCAAUAAGUUUGAUCUUUGCUGAGGCUUAGUUGGUAUUUCUCACUAGCCCUAUGGACUUUGACGCACAUGGUGUUUAUGCUGAUUUGGAUGGAGUUAUUUACUUUCUUCGACUACUGAAGGGAAUUUGGCUCAAGGUGGAGAUUGUUAAAUUGUGAUCCAAAUUCUACCGUGUUGGACUAGACUAAGUCAAAACAGUGUGGGCCUUUGCGUUGGUACCGGCGCGUUCGAGUAUAACUCAUUUACUUGUCCUCCAAGGACUCUCAUAUAUUGCCCCUCAUAUAUAAUUCAUGUAGUCGCACCUAAACAUGACCCGUCGUCUCAUGCUUGUAAUACUCCACCCUCAUAAUGAUUGCUGUUGGAAUUAUGCCCUAGAGGCAAUAAUAAAUAUAGUUAUUAUUAUAAUUCCUGUAUCAAGAUAAUCGUUUAUUAUCCAUGCUAUAAUUGUAUUGAAUGAAGACUCAUUUACAUGUGUGGAUACAUAGACAAAACACCGUCCCUAGCAAGCCUCUAGUUGGCUAGCCAGUUGAUCAAAGAUAGUCAGUGUCUUCUGAUUAUGAACAAGGUGUUGUUGCUUGAUAACUGGAUCACGUCAUUAGGAGAAUCACUCGAUGGACUAGGCCCAAACUAAUAGACGUAGCAUGUUGAUCGUGUCAUUUUGUUGCUACUGUUUUCUGUGUGUCAAGUAUUUAUUCCUAUGACCAUGAGAUCAUAUAACUCAUUGACACCAGAGGAAUGCUUUGAGUGUAUCAAACGUCGCAACGUAACUGGGUGACUAUAAAGAUGCUCUACAGGUGUCUCCGAAGGUGUUAGUUGAGUUAGUAUGGAUCAAGACUGGGAUUUGUCACUCCGUGUGACGGAGAGGUAUCUCGGGGCCCACUCGGUAAUACAACAUCACACACAAGCCUUGCAAGCAAUGUGACUUAGUGUAAGUUGCGGGAUCUUGUAUUACGGAACGAGUAAAGAGACUUGCCGGUAAACGAGAUUGAAAUAGGUAUGCAGAUACUGACGAUCGAAUCUCGGGCCAGUGACAUACCGAAGGACAAAGGGAAUGACAUACGGGAUUAUAUGAAUCCUUGGCACUGAGGUUCAAACGAUAAGAUCUUCGUAGAAUAUGUAGGAUCCAAUAUGGGCAUCCAGGUCCCGCUAUUGGAUAUUGACCGAGGAGUCUCUCGGGUCAUGUCUACAUAGUUCUCGAACCCGCAGGGUCUGCACACUUAAGGUUCGACGUUGUUUUAUGCGUAUUUGAGUUAUAUGGUUGGUUACGGAAUGUUGUUCGGAGUCCCGGAUGAGAUCACGGACGUCAUGAGGGUUUCCGGACUGGUCCGGAAACGAAGAUUGAUAUAUAGGAUGACCCCAUUUGAUUACCGGAAGGUUUUCGGAGUUACCGGGAAUGUACCGGGAAUGACGAAUGGGUUCCGGGAGUCCACUGGGGGGGGGCAACCCACCCCGGGGAAGCCCAUAGGCCUUGAGGGUGGCACACCAGCCCUUAGUGGGCUGGUGGGACAGCCCAAAAGGGCCCGAUGCGCCUAGGAAAGAAAAUCAAAGAGAAAAAAAAGGAGGUGGGAAGGGAAGGAAGGACUCCCACCCACCAAACCAAGUCCAACUCGGUUUGGGGGGUGGGAGCCUUCCCCCUUGGACUCGGCCGACCCCCUUGGGGCUCCUUGAGCCCCAAGGCAAGGUCCCCUCCCUCCCACCUAUAUAUACGGAGGUUUUAGGGCUGAUUUGAGACGAUUUUUCCACGGCAACCCGACCACAUACCUCCACGGUUUUUCCUCUAGAACGCGUUUCUGCGGAGCUCGGGCGGAGCCCUGCUGAGACAAGGUCAUCACCAACCUCCGGAGCGCCGUCACGCUGCCGGAGAACUCUUCUACCUCUCCGUCUCUCUUGCUGGAUCAAGAAGGCCGAGAUCAUCGUCGAGCUGUACGUGUGCUGAACGCGGAGGUGCCGUCCGUUCGGUACUAGAUCGUGGGAUUGAUCACGGGAUUGUUCGCGGGGCGGAUCGAGGGACAUGAGGACGUUCCACUACAUCAACCACGUUCACUAAUGCUUCUGCUGUACAGUCUACAAGGGUACGUAGAUCACUCAUCCCCUCUCGUAGAUGGACAUCACCAUGAUAGGUCUUCGUGCGCGUAGGAAAUUUUUUGUUUCCCAUGCGAUGUUCCCCAACAGUGGCAUCAUGAGCUAGGUUCAUGCGUAGAUGUCUUCUCGAGUAGAACACAAAAGUUUUUGUGGGCGGUGAUGUGCGUUUUUCUGCCCUCCUUAGUCUUUUCUUGAUUCCGCGGUAUUGUUGGAUUGAAGCGGCUUGGACCGACAUUACUCGUACGCUUACGAGAGACUGGUUUCAUCGCUACGAGUAACCCCGUUGCUCAAAGAUGACUCGCAAGUGUCGGUUUCUCCAACUUUAGUUGAAUCGGAUUUGACCGAGGAGGUCCUUGGAUGAGGUUAAAUAGCAACUCAUAUAUCUCCGUUGUGGUGUUUGCAUAAGUAAGAUGCGAUCCUACUAGAUACCCAUGGUCACCACGUAAAACAUGCAACAACAAAAUUAGAGGACGUCUAACUUGUUUUUGCAGGGUAUGCUUGUGAUGUGAUAUGGCCAACGAUGUGAUGUGAUAUAUUGGAUGUAUGAGAUGAUCAUGUUGUAAUAGAAAAUAUCGACUUGCAUGUCGAUGGUACGGCAACCAGCAGGAGCCAUAGGGUUGUCUUUAUACUAACGUUUGUGCUUGCAGAUGCGUUUACUAUUUUGCUAGGAUGUAGCUUUAGUAGUUAUAGCAUGAGUAGCACGACAACCCCGAUGGCAACACGUUGAUGGAGAUCAUGGUGUGGCGCCGAUGACAAGAAGAUCGUGCCGGUGCUUUGGUGAUGGAGAUCAAGAAGCACGUGAUGAUGGCCAUAUCAUGUCACUUAUGAAUUGCAUGUGAUGUUAAUCCUUUUAUGCACCUUAUUUUGCUUAGAACGACGGUAGCAUUAUGAGGUGAUCUCUCACUAAAAUUUCAGGACGAAAUUGUGUUCUCCCCGACUGUGCACCGUUGCUACAGUUCGUCGUUUCGAGACACCACGUGAUGAUCGGGUAUGAUAGACUCAACGUUCACAUACAACGGGUGCAAAACAGUUGCGCACGCGGAACACUCGGGUUAAGCUUGACGAGCCUAGCAUGUGCAGACAUGGCCUCGGAACACAUGAGACCGAAAGGUCGAUCAUGAAUCAUAUAGAUGAUAUGAUUAGCAUAGGGAUGCUUACCACUGAAACUAUACUCAACUCACGUGAUGAUCGGACUUGAGCUAGUGUAAGUGGAUCAUGAACCACUCAAAUGACUAAGAGAGAUGUACUUUUUGAGUGGGAGUUUAGCGUAUAAUUUUGAUUAAAGUUAAACUCUAAUUAUCUUGAACAUAGUCUAAGUCCACUUUGAAUAUAUUUGUGUUGUAGAUCAUGGCUCACGCGACAGUCACCCUGAAUUUUAAUACGUUCCUAGAGAAAGCUAAGUUGAAAGAUGAUGGAAGCAACUUUGUAGACUAGGCUCGUAAUCUUAAGCUAAUCUUACAAGCCGGGAAGAAGGAUUAUGUCCUUAAUGCUGCGCUAGGAGAUGAACCACCCGCUACGGCUGAUCAGGAUGUUAAGAACGCUUGGUUAGCACGUAAGGAGGACUACUCAAUAGUUCAAUGUGCAGUCUUGUAUGGCUUAGAACCGGGACUUCAACGUCGCUUUGAGCGUCAUGGAGCAUUUGAGAUGUUCCAGGAGUUGAAGUUUAUCUUUCAGAAGAACGCCUGGAUCGAGAGGUAUGAGACCUCCGAUAAAUUCUAUGCUUGCAAGAUGGAGGAAAACUCAUCUGUCAGUGAACAUGUGCUCAAAAUGUCUGGGUACUCAAACCGUCUAGCUGAGCUGGGGAUUGAACUCCCGCAAGAGGCUAUCACUGACAGAAUCCUUCAAUCACUGCCGCCAAGCUAUAAAGGCUUUGUGUUGAACUACAACAUGCAAGGGAUGAACAAGUCUCCCGGCGAGUUGUUUGCGAUGCUGAAAGUCGCAGAGUCUGAACUCCGUAAAGAGCAUCAAGUGUUGAUGGUGAAUAAGACCACUAGUUUCAAGAGAAACGACAAAGGCAAGAAGGGUAAUUCAAAGAAGAGCGGCAAGCCUGUUGCCAAUCCGAUGAAGAAACCCAAAGCUGGACCUAAGCCUGAAACGGAGUGUUACUAUUGCAAGGGUAUGGGUCACUGGAAGCGCAAUUGCCCCAAGUAUCUGGCAGAUAAGAAGGUGGCCAAAGAAAAAUCAGGUAUAUUUGAUAUACAUGUUAUUGAUUUGUACUUAACCGGCUCUCGUAGUAGUGCCUGGGUAUUCGAUACCGGUUCUGUUGCUCAUAUUUGCAACUCGAAACAGGAACUGCUGAAUAGACGAAGGCUGGCGAAAGAUGAAGUGACGAUGCGCGUAGGAAAUGGUUCCAAAGUUGAUGCAAUCGCCAUCGGCACAGUUUCACUUCAGUUACCAUCAGGAUUAGUGAUGAACUUAAAUCAUUGUUAUUUAGUGCCUGCGUUGAGCAUGAACAUUAUAUCUGGAUCUUGUUUAUUGCGAGACGGUUACUCUUUUAAGUCAGAGAAUAAUGGUUGUUCUAUUUCUAUGAGUAACAUCUUUUAUGGUCAUGCACCUAAUGUGAGAGGAUUGUUCAUAUUGAAUCUUGAUAGCGAUACGCAUAUACAUAACAUUGAGACCAAAAGAGUUAGAGUUAACAAUGAUAGCGCCAUAUUUUUGUGGCACUGCCGCUUAGGUCAUAUUGGUGUAAAGCGCAUGAAGAAACUCCAUGCUGAUGGACUUUUGGAGUCACUUGACUGUGAUUCACUUGACACGUGCGAACCAUGCCUCAUGGGCAAGAUGACUAAGACUCCGUUCUCCGGAACAAUGGAGCGUGCAAGUGACUUGUUGGAAAUCAUACAUACCGAUGUGUGUGGUCCGAUGAGCGUGGAGGCACGCGGCGGAUAUCGUUAUUUUCUCACCUUCACUGACGAUUUGAGUAGAUAUGGUUAUGUAUACUUGAUGAAGCACAAGUCUGAAACAUUUGAAAAGUUCAAGCAAUUUCAGAGUGAAGUUGAAAAUCAUCGUAACAAGAAGAUCAAAUUCCUACGGUCUGAUCAUGGGGGUGAAUAUCUGAGUUUCGAGUUUGGUGCUCACUUAAGACAAUGUGGAAUUGUUUCAUAGUUAACACCGCCUGGAACACCACAGCGUAAUGGUGUGUCCGAACGUCGUAAUCGUACUUUAUUAGAGAUGGUGCGAUCUAUGAUGUCUCUUACCGAUUUGCCGUUAUCGUUUUGGGGUUAUGCAUUAGAAACAGCUGCAUUCACUUUAAAUAGGGCACCAACAAAAUCCGUUGAGACGACACCAUACGAACUGUGGUAUGGCAAAAGGCCAAAGUUGUCGUUUCUUAAAGUUUGGGGAUGUGAUGCUUAUGUCAAAAAGCUUCAGCCUGAAAAGCUGGAACCCAAAGCGGAAAAGUGCGUCUUCAUAGGUUACCCAAAAGAGACAGUUGGGUUCACCUUCUAUCUCAAAUCCGAGGGCAAAGUGUUUGUUGCUAAAAAACGGAGCUUUUCUCGAGAAGGAGUUUCUCUCGAGAGAAUUGAGUGGGAGGAAGAUAGAACUUUACGAGGUUGUCGAACCUCUCAUCCCUCUAGAUGGUGGCGCAGGGCAAGGGGAAACCUCUGUCGUUGCAACACCGGUUGAGGAGGAAGUUAAUGAUGAUGAUCAUGAAACUCCGGUUCAAAUUUCUAUCGAACCACGCAGGUCGACGAAACCACGUGCUGCUCCAGAGUGGUACGGUAAUCCCGUCUUAUCGAUCAUGUUGUUGGACAACAAUGAACCUGCAAAUUAUGAAGAAGCAAUGGUGGGCCCAGAUUCCAACAAAUGGCUAGAAGCCAUGAAGUCCGAGAUAGGAUCCAUGUAUGAGAACAAAGUGUGGACUUUGGAGGUACUGCCUGAAGGCCGCAAGGCUAUUCAGAACAAAUGGAUUUUUAAGAGGAAGAUGGACGCUAACGGCAAUGUAACCGUUUAUAAAGCUCGACUUGUGGCAAAGGGUUUUUUCACAAGUUCAAGGAGUUGACUACGAUGAGACUUUCUCACCCGUAGCGAUGCUUAAGUCCGUCAGAAUCAUGUUAGCAAUAGCUGCAUUUUUCGAUUAUGAAAUCUGGCAGAUGGAUGUCAAAACGGCGUUCCUUAACGGUUUCCUUAAGGAAGAAUUGUAUAUGAUGCAACCCGAAGGUUUUGUCGAUCCUAAGAAUGCUAACAAGGUGUGCAAGCUCCAGCGAUCCAUUUAUGGACUGGUGCAAGCAUCUCGGAGUUGGAACAAACGCUUUGAUGAGGUGAUCAAAGCAUUUGGGUUUAUACAAGUGGUUGGAGAAUCUUGUAUUUACAAGAAAGUGAGUGGGAGCUCUGUGGCGUUUCUGAUAUUAUAUGUGGAUGACAUAUUGCUGAUUGGAAACAACGUAGAGUUUUUGGAGAGCAUAAAGGAUUACUUGAAUAAAAGUUUCUCUAUGAAGGACCUAGGAGAAGCUGCUUACAUUCUAGGCAUUAAGAUCUAUAGGGAUAGAUCAAAACGCCUGAUAGGACUUUCACAAAGCACAUACCUUGAUAAAGUUUUGAAGAGGUUCAAAAUGGAACAGUCCAAGAAAGGGUUCUUGCCAGUUUUACAAGGUACGAGAUUGAGUAAGACUCAGUGCCCAGCAACUGAUGAAGAUAGAGAGCAUAUGCGCUCCGUGCCCUAUGCUUCAGCCAUAGGUUCUAUCAUGUAUGCAAUGCUGUGCACUAGACCGGAUGUUAGCCUGGCCAUAAGUAUGGCAGGUAGGUUCUAGAGUAAUCCAGGAGUGGAUCACUGGACAGCGGUCAAGAAUAUCCUGAAGUACCUGAAAAGGACUAAGGAGAUGUUUCUCGUGUAUGGAGGUGACGAAGAGCUCGCCGUAAAAGGUUACGUCGAUGCAAGCUUUGACACAGAUCCGGACGACUCUAAGUCGCAAACCGGAUACGUAUUUAUUCUUAAUGGGGGUGCGGUAAGCUGGUGCAGUUCCAAGCAAAGCGUUGUAGCAGAUUCUACAUGUGAAGCGGAGUACAUGGCUGCCUCGGAGGCGGCUAAGGAGGGUGUCUGGAUGAAGUAGUUCGUGACGGAUCUUGGAGUGGUGCCAAGCGCACUGAAUCCAAUAACCUUGUUCUGUGACAACACGGGUGCCAUUGCCUUAGCAAAGGAACCACGAUUUCACAAGAAGUCCAGACACAUCAAACGACGCUUCAACCUCAUCCGCGACUACGUCGAAGGAGAGGACGUGAAUAUAUGCAAAGUGCACACGGAUCUGAAUGUAGCAGACCCACUGACUAAACCUCUUCCACGGCCAAAGCAUGAUCAACACCAGAACUGUAUGGGUGUUAGAUUUAUUACAAUGUAAUUCGCAUGAUGAUGUGAGGGCUAGAUUAUUGACUCUAGUGCAAGUGGGAGACUGUUGGAAUUAUGCCCUAGAGGCAAUAAUAAAUAUAGUUAUUAUUAUAAUUCCUGUAUCAAGAUAAUCGUUUAUUAUCCAUGCUAUAAUUGUAUUGAAUGAAGACUCAUUUACAUGUGUGGAUACAUAGACAAAACACCGUCCCUAGCAAGCCUCUAGUUGGCUAGCCAGUUGAUCAAAGAUAGUCAGUGUCUUCUGAUUAUGAACAAGGUGUUGUUGCUUGAUAACUGGAUCAUGUCAUUAGGAGAAUCACGUGAUGGACUAGACCCAAACUAAUAGACGUAGCAUGUUGAUCGUGUCAUUUUGUUGCUACUGUUUUCUGCGUGUCAAGUAUUUAUUCCUAUGACCAUGAGAUCAUAUAACUCACUGACACCGGAGGAAUGCUUUGUGUGUAUCAAACUACGCAACGUAACUGGGUGACUAUAAAGAUGCUCUACAGGUGUCUCCGAAGGUGUUAGUUGAGUUAGUAUGGAUCAAGACUGGGAUUUGUCACUCCGUGUGACGGAGAGGUAUCUCGGGGCCCAGUCGGUAAUACAACAUCACACACAAGCCUUGCAAGCAAUGUGACUUCGUGUAAGUUGCGGGAUCUUGUAUUACGGAACGAGUAAAGAGACUUGCCGGUAAACGAGAUUGAAAUAGGUAUGCGGAUACUGACGAUCGAAUCUCGGGCAAGUGACAUACCGAAGGACAAAGGGAAUGACAUACGGGAUUAUAUGAAUCCUUGGCACUGAGGUUCAAACGAUAAGAUCUUCGUAGAAUAUGUAGGAUCCAAUAUGGGCAUCCAGGUCCCGCUAUUGGAUAUUGACCGAGGAGUCUCUCGGGUCAUGUCUACAUAGUUCUCGAACCCGCAGGGUCUGCACACUUAAGGUUCGACGCUAUCUUAUACGGCUAUCNNNNNNNNNNNNNNNNNNNNNNNNNNNNNNNNNNNNNNNNNNNNNNNNNNNNNNNNNNNNNNNNNNNNNNNNNNNNNNNNNNNNNNNNNNNNNNNNNNNNUUAAAAGAAUAUAUAUGUAAAAAAAAGGGAAAGUAUUAAAGAAAUAAUAAUGAUAAAAGAAAGAAAAGAAAACUGAAAGAAAGGAUUAAUAAAAAGAAAAGGGAAAAGGUAAAACAAAAUAAAAACAAAUCAAAAAAAAAGCAACCCACCCCCCCUGGCCCAACUGGGCUCAAGGCCCAGCCGGCCCCCACCUCCAUCCCGCAACCCUAAUCCCCCUGGGAGCCGCCGCCUCCUCCCCUCGCUACUCCCUCCCUUUCCCACGCCGCCGCCAGCCCCCCCCCACCGACCGGGCCCCACUUCCCCACGUCCCGUGACUCCCUCCCGUAACUCCCUCCCUCCCGUGACUCUAGGUCCCCCUCCACGCCAGAUUCCCACCUCCCGUGGCUCCCUCCCCACGAGAGCCCCAUCCCACCCCGUCGCCCCCCUCCUCUCCACCUCGCCUCCCCUCCCAGAUCCCACCCCGCCGGCCUUCUCCCUUCACCGCCCCCUCCCCGGCGGCCCCUCAUCCCCCUCACCCCCCGGCGGGCCCUCCCCUGCUCCCGCCGGCGAGCUUCUCCACCACGCCGGCGAGCCGCCCCCCCACGGCUCCUCUCCUCCCCCCGGCGGCCCCGCCCCUCACUGCCUCCUCGCCUCCCCCCGCCGGCCUCCUUCCCCUCGGCCACCUCCUUCCACGGCGAGCCCCGGCCGCCCCUCGGCCUCCUCCUCCCCGCGGACAGCCCCGGCCUCCCGUCGGCCAUCUCCCGCUCGGUCCGGGAGGGACCGGGCAGGGAGACGUCAUCAUCUCGCCGGGUCCGACCGGCUCCCCCUCGUCGGCACAUCACCACCAUCGGCACCGUCACCGCCUCCACGUCCGUCUCCACCGUCAACUACGUGCGAACUCCGGCUUCACCGGGCCGUCACGUCACCGUCGGUGAGCCCCUCCUCGGGCUCCUCCCACCGUGUCGAUCUCCUCGCCGUCCCGGUUCCGUUCCGGCAAACGGGGCCUCGAUCCGUCGACGGUGGACUCCGGUAGGAGGGAUUAAAGUUUAGGUUCUUCUAGGUGGUGUUAGAGAAAGUUCUUCUCUGUCUCUCUGUUAACAGAGAGAGAUGAGUGUUGAGAAAGAAAAAUAAAAAGAAUAAAUGAUGUAUUAAAUGCGUAUGUAUGUNNNNNNNNNNNNNNNNNNNNNNNNNNNNNNNNNNNNNNNNNNNNNNNNNNNNNNNNNNNNNNNNNNNNNNNNNNNNNNNNNNNNNNNNNNNNNNNNNNNNAUAGCAAAUCAAAAUACCGAACGAAUACCAAAUUCACAUGACUAUUAUCAACAUGACUUAUCCCAUGUCCUCAGGAACAAAAGUAACUAGUCACAAAGCAUAAUCAUAAUCAUGAUCAGAGGUGUAAUGAGUAGCAUCAAGGAUCUGAACAUAAACUCUUCCACCAAGUAAUCCAACUAGCAUCAACUACAAAGAGUAAUCAACACUACUAGCAACCUUACAAGUACCAAUCGGAGUCGCGAGAUGGAGACUGGUUACAAGAGAUGAACUAGGGUUUGGAGAGGAGAUGGAGCUGAUGAAGAUGUUGAUGGAGAUGACUCCCCUCCGACGAGAGGUGUGUUGGUGAUGAUGAUGGCGAUGAUUUUCCCCCUCCGGGAGGGAAGUUUCCCCGGCAGGAUCUUUCGCCACGGGGGUAGGUGGCGGCUACCAGGCUUGUGGGCCCCUGGUAGCUCCCUUCUCGCACUUCUUUCGCCCAGUAUUUUUUAUGUAUUCCCAAAAAAUUCCUCGUUGAUUUUCAGGGCAUUUGGAGUUGCGCAGAAUAGAGGACUCAGACUUGCUCCUUUUCUAGUCCAGAAUUCCAGCUGCCGGUAUUCUCCCUCUUCAAAUAAACCUUGCAAAAUAAGAGAGAAAAGGCAUAAGUAUGGUACCACAAAGUAAUAUAUUAGACCAUAAAGCGAUAAAUAUCAACAUGAAAGCAUGAUGCAAAAUGGACGUAUCAACUCCCCCAAGCUUAGACCUCGCUUCUCCUCAAGCGAAAACCAAGAUCCAUAAAAAUGUCCACAUGUUUAGGGAUGAAGGUGUCGACAAAACAUAAUACGGACAUGAGGGAAUCAUGAUCACACAUAGAACAGCAAUACAUCAUAAAGAUUCUUAUGGGAAAGUAACAAUUCCUUCACAAAGCAAAGUAUGAAGAAAAAACCUUACCGAGAAGUAGCCAACAACAGUCCAUAGUCAUUGAAGCAGUUGCAAUUUAUCAUAACAUCAGAACGAGUCAAAUAAGAGCUUGUAAAGCAACCCCACAUACUCAAUCAUCUCUUUUGUUUUCCACAAUUGUUACAACUCACAUGGUACUCAUGGUAUCAAAGUUUCAGCUGGACACAGAGAAAGAUAGGGUCUUAUAGUUUUGCCUCCCAACUAUUUACCUCAAGGGUAAAGUCAACAAUAAUAAAGCAUAAGUACUCAUCUCCAAGUUGAUAUAUGAAUAUAGAUCUUUCCCUAGCUUGUGAUGGUAGCCAAGACAAAGGCAAACUAAGGAAUUGGUGAAGAUCACCAUGACUCUUUCAAGGGAAAAAGUAAAGGUACAAGAUAGGCCCUUCGCAGAGGGAAGCACAGGUUGUCAUGCGCUUUUGAGGUUUGGAUGCGUGUCCUCUUAGUGCGGAGGAACGUCACUUUAUAUUGCCUCCUGUGAUAAAGAACUUUAUUAUGCAGUCUGUCGCUUUUAUGUCUUCCUCAUCACAGGUUCGUACAAAUCUUAUUUUCCACACACUAAUAGAUCAUACAUAUUAGAGAGCAAUUUUUAUUGCUUGCACCGAUGACAACUUACUUGAGGGAUCUUAUUCAAUCCAUAGGUAGGUAUGGUGGACUCUCAUGGCAAAACUGGGUUGAAGGUUUAUGGAUGCACAAGUAGUAUCUCUACUUGGUGUGGGAGUUUUGGCUAAUAUGAGGUGGAAGCAAUCGUCACAUGCUAAGGGAUCUCUAGACAUAUAACAUUGUUUGGAACCAAGCAAACACAAUUCAUUAUGUUGUCUUCCUUGUCCAGCAUCUACUUCUAAGCAUGUAAUAGUUUGGGGAGUGCUCACAAUUAUAGAAAGUGUCUAAGAUGAUAUAUUUAUAUGUGAGCCUCUCUUUCCUUAUUACUUCUUAUUAAUUGCAACAAUGACUGGGGUCUAUGUUGGUCUAUUCUCAACAAGUUUCAAUCAUCAUACUUGUUAUAUGUGAAGCUAUAACUUUCCAUAAGAUCAUCUCAUGAUCUUUCAUGCUAUCGUUCUUUUAAUACUUUUGAUCACGACACAAAACAAAGCCCUUGACUAAGAUACUCUUUAUUAUAUAGCUCGCAAGCUCGAAUACAUCGGGGGAGACACAAAGCAAAAGACUCAAACUACACACUAAAGACUUAUUCCACUAAGAGAAGAAAUCAAAACUGAAAAGGAAAGAACUAAAACAAAGGUAAAAGCAAAAGAUAUAAAGGUGAUACGAUACGAGGGAAACUCCCCCAAGCUUGGCAAAAGCCAAGGGGAUUGCCCAUACCAAUUCUUAGUUGUCUUCCUUUGGUGGUGAUGGUGGUGGUGGUGUUGAAGUAGUCUAAUCCUCCGUCUUCCAAGGCAUAGGUGCUCCAUCAUGGGUGGAUGAACGAGUCGCCGGAAUCCUCAAAUCUUCAGCCAACCGUAUUGAUUUAAAUCUAUACUCAUACUCACAGUUUUGGUUCUGCAGGUCAUAGAUCUGGCCCUGAAGUUGAUCAACCCUGUCAUAGAGCCUGGAGAGGUGCUUCCCAAUGUCAAUGGAAUCCAUCUUGUGAUUGUUGGAGAACUCCGUGAUCAUCAUGUGGUUGGCGUUGAGUCCACGCUCCACCAUCCCUUGGCACUUGAAGACUUGUUGCUCCAUUGCUGUGAGCCUCGUAUCCAUGCUUCCGGUCUUCUUCGGCCCCUCAACAUCACGGAUGUGCAACAUCCCUUCACUCAUCUUGAUAGAUUGAGGGUGUUUUAGCACUUCCGUGCGGUAGGGAUUGAUGACCUUCUCAAAGAUCUUGUCCUUAGGAGCUUUUGAGGAAGUCAUGACGAUCUAGAUCUCCGACAGAAACAGGCUCGAAACGAAAACAGAGGAAAACUGCAUGAUAUGGAGAACAAAACCCUCGGGAGUAUAUAUAAUGGUUUUUUCUGGACUAGAAGGAGUGCUCCGCAAGAAAACAGAGUCCGGGAGGCACACGAGGUGCCCACAAGCCCUGUAGCCGCCGCCAGGGGGUAGGUGGCGGCUACCAAGCUUGUGGCCGCCUCGUUCGCCCUCCGGACUGCUUUUUACUUCUCUAAUUUUCCAAAAAUUCCAAAACGUAAGAAAUUUCCUAUUGGAAAAGUAUCGGAGUCCAAUUUCUUGCCGACACAGAUACAUCUUCGUUUUCAAGGUCUGAAACAGGCUGAUAAACAUCCCUUAUGUACUCCUCUGGAGUUAUGACAUUGAUGAUAUUGGUCUCAACAUUUAUGGGAGUACCAGAGAUGUAAUGCUUGAUUCUUUCCCCAUUUACCACUCUAGGAAAAUUUCCUUCCGUGUUAUUCAUUCUAAUGGCACCGGAACGAUAUACUUCCUCGACAACAUAGGGACCUUCCCAUUUAGAGAGAAGCUUGCCUGCAAAGAAUCUCAAACGAGAAUUGUAUAGCAAGACAUAAUCACCUACAUUGAACUCUCGUUUCUGUAUUCGUUUGUCGUGCCAUCUCUUAACCUUUUCUGUGAACAACCUGGCAUUCUCAUAUGUCUGGGCUCUCCAUUCAUCUAACGAGCUGAUAUCAAACAACUGCUUCUCACCGGCAAGUUUGAAAUCAAAGUUGAGCUCUUUGAUUGCCCAAUAAGCUUUGUCUUCCAGCUCAAGAGGAAAAUGACAGGCCUUACCGUAAACCAUUUUAUACGGUGACAUGCCCAUGGGAUUCUUAUAAGCAGUCCUAUAAGCCCAUAGUGCAUCGUCAAGUUUGCUAGACCAGUUCUUUCGAGAUCUAUUGACGGUCUUUUGUAGGAUCAAAUUGAUCUCCCUAUUACUCAACUCCACUUGACCACUAGACUAAGGAUGAUAAGGAGAUGCAACUCUAUGGUUGACAUCAUACUUAACUAGCAUCUUACGGAAAACACCAUGAAUGAAGUGUGAACCGCCAUCAGUCAUCGGGUAUCUAGGGACUCCAAAUCUUGGGAAUAUGACUUCUUUAAGCAUCUUAAUAGAGGUGUGGUGAUCAGCAUUUUUAGUGGGGAUAGAUUCUACCCACUUAGUAACGUAAUCCACGGCAACUAAGAUGUGAGUGUAUCCAUUGGAACUCGGGAAGGGUCCCAUAUAAUCAAAGCCCAGACAUCAAAUUGUUCAAUGACAAGUGAAUAGUUCAUAGGCAUUUCCUGACGCUUACUGAUGUUCCCUAUCCUUUGGCAUUCGUCACAAGACAAGACAAACUUACGGGCAUCCCUGAAGAGAGUGGGCCAAUAGAAACCUGAUUGCAAUACCUUAUGGGCAGUUCUAUCUCCACCAUGGUGUCCUCCGUAGGCUUCGGAAUGACACUUCUGCAGGAUCUGUCCCUGUUCAUGUUCAGGCACACAACGUCUAAUAACACCAUCUACUCCUUCCUUAUAAAGGUGAGGAUCAUCCCAAAAGUAGUGUCUCAAAUCAAAGAAGAAUUUCUUCUUUUGCUGAUAGGUGAAACUGGGUGGUUUGUAUUUGGCUACGAUAUAGUUUGCAUAAUCGGCAUACCACGAUGCACUAAGUGAAGUGCGGAUGACAUUUAAUUGCUCAUCGGGAAAGCUGUCAUCAAUAGGUAGUGGGUCAUCAAGGACAUUCUCUAGCCUAGACAAGUUAUCUGCUACAGGGUUAUCAGCACCCUUUCGGCCAACGACGUGCAAAUCAAAUUUCUAUAGCAGGGGAACCCAUCUGAUCAGCCUAGGCUUAGCGUCCUUCUUCUCCAUGAGGUACUUAAUAGCAGCAUGAUCAGAGUGAAUAGUGACUUUGGAGUCAACUAUGUAAGAUCUGAACUUUUCACAUGCAAACACGACUGCUAAAAAUUCCUUCUCCGUAGUGGCAUAGUUUCUUUGGGCACUGUCUAGAGUUUUACUAGCGUAGUGAAUGACAUUCAACUUCUUGUCAACUCUUUGUCCUAGAACAGCACCAACUGCGUAAUCACUAGCGUCACACAUGAUUUCAAAGGGCAAGUUCCAGUCAGGUGGUUGAACAAUAGGUGCGGUUAUCAAAGCCUUCUUAAGUAUUUCAAAGGCUUCCUCACAAUCCUCAUGAAAAACAAAAGGAACAUCCUUCUGCAAGAGGUUGGUAAGAGGCCUAGAAAUCUUAGAGAAGUCUUUAAUGAACCUUCUAUAGAAACCAGCAUGACCUAGGAAACUUCGUAUACCUCUGAUAUAUGUAGGGCAAGGCAUUUUCUCAAUUGCAUCAACCUUAGCCUUAUCAACUUCAAUGCCUCUUUCAGAGAUUUUGUGUCCUAAGACGAUACCUUCAUUAACCAUAAAGUGGCACUUCUCCCAAUUCAAGACGAGGUUGGUUUCUUCGCAUCUCUGUAAGACUCGAUCAAGGUUGCUGAGGCAAUCAUCAAAGGAAGACCCGUAAACGGAGAAGUCAUCCAUGAAAACCUCGAUGAUCGUUUCACAAAAGUCAGAGAAUAUAGCCAUCAUACAUCUUUGGAAGGUGGCAGGUGCAUUACAUAAGCCAAAAGGCAUACGUCUAUAGGCAAAGGUACCGAAAGGGCAGGUGAAAGUGGUUUUCUCUUGAUCAGAUUGUGCAACAGGUAUUUGCUAGAAACCUGCAUAACCGUCUAGAAAGCAGAAGUGUGUGUGUUUUGAUAGCCUUUCUAGGCUAUCNNNNNNNNNNNNNNNNNNNNNNNNNNNNNNNNNNNNNNNNNNNNNNNNNNNNNNNNNNNNNNNNNNNNNNNNNNNNNNNNNNNNNNNNNNNNNNNNNNNNGAAUUUAACUUCUCCAAGUUUGGAAGACAACCCCAUGAAAAAGAGUCGUCUGGUAGGGAUGAAAUCAUUGCUCUUGCCUCUAUUGCCGUGCCUCCUACGGAUCCUUUAGAGCAAUAUCUGCUUGAGCAUGAAAAUGAUAUGCAUAUGGAUGAAAGAGAUGAGAUAGAUAAAAUUGUUUUAGAACAAUAUCCUAUUCUCAAGAAUAAUCUGCCUGUUGAACUGGUUGGGGAUCCUCCCGCACCAAAGGGUGAUCCUGUGUUCGAGCUAAAACAAUUACCAGAUACUCUUAAGUAUGCCUACCUUGAUGAGAAGGAGAUAUAUCCUGUUAUUAUUAGUGCUCACCUCUCGAAUCACAAAGAGAAGAAGUUAUUAACAACUUUGAGGAAGCACCGUGCGGCUACUGGAUAUAGUCUUGAUGAUCUUAAGGGUAUUAGUCCCACUCUAUGUGAGCACAAGAUUAAAACCGAUCCUGAUUCUAAACCAGUUGCUGAUCAUCAAAGGAGAUUAAAUCCUAAGAUGAAAGAGGUCGUUAGAAAAGAAAUAUUAAAGCUUGCAUGCNNNNNNNNNNNNNNNNNNNNNNNNNNNNNNNNNNNNNNNNNNNNNNNNNNNNNNNNNNNNNNNNNNNNNNNNNNNNNNNNNNNNNNNNNNNNNNNNNNNNCUAUGUAGAAAUGACCGAGACAUUCUCCGAUCAAUAACCAAUAGCAGGACCUAGAUGCCCAUAUUGGCUCCUACAUAUUCUACGUAGAUAUUUAUCGGUUGAACCUCUAUGUCAAGGAUUCAGUUAAUCCUGUAUGUUGUUCCCAUUGUACAUCAGUAUGUUACUUGCCCGAGAUUCAAUCAUCGGUAUCUCCGUACCUAGUUCAAUCUCAUUACCGGCUAGUCUAUUUACUCGUUCCUAAUACAAAAUCCCGUGACUACCUCCUUAGUCACAUUGCUUGCAAGGCUUGUUGUGAUGUUGUAUUACCGAGUGGGCCCCGAGAUACCUCUCCGUCACACGGAGUGACUAAUCCCAGUCUUGAUCCAUGUCAACUCAACAAACACCCUCGGAGAUACCUGUAGAUCACCCUGGGAAUUUGGGUACCCUAACCCGCUAUUCGAACCCGAACCGAACCGAAUUACCCGAAUUGUCGGGUAAUAUGGGUAUCGGGUUAGGGUUCGGUUCUCAUUUUCUGGCUAUUCGGUUUUCGGGUUAGGGUUCAGGUUCUAGUCUGUAAAACCCGAAAUACCCAUACUAUCCGAAUUAUCCAGACCAGCCAAAUUAUUUAUGCUAUUAUUACACUUACAUGUUACCCAUACUAACUAAAAUAUCCAUACUAUCCAAAAUACCCACACUAACCGAAUUAUUCAUACCAAAAGUUGAUGUGUGCUAUGAAUAUUUUGGGUUUCUUGGGUACCCGAAUUAACCGAACCAACAUUUUGGGUAAUUUGGGUUCUGGUAAAUUUUUGACACAAAAUUGUUUGGUUUCCCGUUUUGAAUACCCGAAUUAUCCAAACCGAAAUAACCAAAAUACCCGAAUACCUUGACAAAGUUUUGAAGAAGUUCAAAAUGGAACAGUCCAAGAAAGGUUUCUUGCCUGUGUUGUAAGGUGUGAAGUUGAGUAAGACUCAAUGCCAAGUGACUGCAGAAUAUAGAGAAAAGAUGAGUGUUGUCCUCUAUGCUUCAGCCAUAGGCUCUAUCAUGUAUGCAAUGUUGUGCACAAGACGUGAUGUCAGGCUUGCCAUAAGUAUGGCGGGAAGGUUUCAAAGUGAUCCAGGAAUGGAACACUUGACAGCGGUCAAGGAUAUUCUGAAGUACGUGAAAAGGACUAAGGAAAUGUUUCUCGUGUAUGGAGGUGAUAAAGAGCUCGUCGUAAAGGGUUAUGUCGAUGCAAGCUUUGACACUGAUCCAGAUGACUCUAAGUCACAAACCGGAUACAUAUUUAUUCUCAAUGGGGGUGCGGCAAGCUGGUGCAGUUCCAGGCCAAGCGUGGUAGCUGAUUCUACGUGUGAAACAGAGUACAUAGCUGCCUCGGAGGCGGCUAAAGAAGGUGUUUGGAUGAAGGAGUUCAUGACAGAUUUAGGAGUUGUGCCAGUGCACUGGAUCCAACGACAAUAUUUUGUGACAACAUUGGUGCCAUUGAUCUAGCCAAGGAACCAAUUUUCACACGAGGACCAGACACAUAAACUGACGUUUUAAUUUCAUCCGCGAUUACAUCAAGGAGGAGGACAUAAGUAUUUGCAAAGUGCACACGAAUCUGAAUGUUGCAGACCCGUUGACUAAGCCUCUUCCACGAGCGAAACAUGAUCAACACCAGAACUGUAUGGGUGUUAGAUUCAUUAUAAUGUAAAUGACAUAAUGAUGUGAGCUAGAUUAUUGACUCUAGUGCAAGUGGGAGACUGUUGGAAAUAUGCCGUAGAGGCAAUGAUAAAAUUGUUAUUAUUAUAUUUCCUUGUUCAAGAUUAUCGUUUAUUAUCCAUGCUAGAAUUCUAUUGAUUGGAAACUCAAAUACAUGUGUGGAUACAUAGACAACACACUGUCCCUAGUAAGCGUCUAAUGGGCUAGCUCGUUUCUCAAAGAUGGUCAAGGUUUUGAUAACGGGAUCACAUCAUUAGGAGAAUGAUGUGAUGGAGAAGACCCAAACUUCUAUCNNNNNNNNNNNNNNNNNNNNNNNNNNNNNNNNNNNNNNNNNNNNNNNNNNNNNNNNNNNNNNNNNNNNNNNNNNNNNNNNNNNNNNNNNNNNNNNNNNNNGAUAGCGAUAGUUUGAUAUGUGGGUGGACCGGCGCUUGGGGUGCUUCCCUUACUUUGACAAGCAUUCCACUUAUGAUUAACCCCUCUCGCAAGCAUCCGCAACUACGAAAGAAGAAUUAAGAGAACAUCUAACCAUAGCAUUAAACUAGUGGAUACAAAUCAGCCCCUUACGAAUCAACGCAUAGACUAGGGUUUAAGCUUCUGUCACUCUAGCAACCCAUCAUCUACUUACUACUCCCCAAUGCCUUCCUCUAGGCCCAAAGAUGGUGAAGUGUUAUGUAGUCGACGUUCACAUAACACCACUAGAGGAAAAGACAACAUACAGCAUAUCAAAAUGACGAACGAAUACCAAAUUCACAUGACUAUUAUCAGCAUGACUUAUCCCAUGUCCUCAGGAACAAAAGUAACUACUCACAAGACAUAAUCAUAAUCAUGAUCAGAGGUGUAAUGAGUAGCAUCAAGGAUCUGAACAUAAACUCUUCCACCAAGGAUCCUUAAGCGGGAAGCGUUAAGAAACACAGUUGAUGUAAUCGAACGUCUUCACGAUCCAAAUCGCAAGCCGUCCCGCGAUCCAAUCAUGAUCUAGUGCGGAACGUACGACACCUCCGUGUUCAGCACACGUACAGAUCGAUGAUGAUCGCCACCUUCUUGAUCAAGCAAGAGGGGGCAGAGAGGUAGAUGAGUUCUCCGGCAGCACGACGGCGUGGUGGCCGUGGUGGUGAACUAAUCCGGCAGGGCUUCCUCGAGCUCUACCGAACUAAUCUAGACGAAGAAGACGAUCUAUGGGGAAGAGGGCAGCACGUGGCUUUUUAGGUGGUGGCUGCCCUCAAAACCUCCACUAUAUAUAGGAGGAAGAGGUAGGUGGGCUGCCUUGGCCCCUCCUCCAAGGAGGAGAGGUUCCGUCGAACCAAGGGGGGAGUCCUCCUACCAUAAGGAAGGUGGACUCCCUUGGGAGGACUCCUCCUCCACCUCCUCUCUUGGCCCUUGCGCAUGGGCGUCUUGGUGCUGGCCGCCCAAGCCCACGAGGGGCUGGUGCGCCACCUCGUAAGCCCAUGUGCCCCACCCUCGGGUUGGGUGGCCCCUCCCGGUGCACUACCGGAAAUGCCCGAAAUUUUUCCAGAAUCCAAAUACCACUUUUCUAUAUAUCAAUCUUUACCUCUGGACCAUUCCGGAGCUCCUCAUGAUGUCGCAGUUUUCAUCCGAGACUCCGAACAACUUUUGGUCACCAACAUACAUAACUCAAUAAUAUCGAAACGUGUGCAGACUCUGCGGGUUCGAGAACUAUGUAGAAAUGACCGAGACAUUCUCCGAUCAAUAACCAAUAGCAGGACCUAGAUGCCCAUAUUGGCUCCUACAUAUUCUACGUAGAUAUUUAUCGGUUGAACCUCUAUGUCAAGGAUUCAGUUAAUCCUGUAUGUUGUUCCCAUUGUACAUCAGUAUGUUACUUGCCCGAGAUUCAAUCAUCGGUAUCUCCGUACCUAGUUCAAUCUCAUUACCGGCUAGUCUCUAUCNNNNNNNNNNNNNNNNNNNNNNNNNNNNNNNNNNNNNNNNNNNNNNNNNNNNNNNNNNNNNNNNNNNNNNNNNNNNNNNNNNNNNNNNNNNNNNNNNNNNAACUAUGUAGAAAUGACCGAGACAUUCUCCGAUCAAUAACCAAUAGCAGGACCUAGAUGCCCAUAUUGGCUCCUACAUAUUCUACGUAGAUAUUUAUCGGUUGAACCUCUAUGUCAAGGAUUCAGUUAAUCCUGUAUGUUGUUCCCAUUGUACAUCAGUAUGUUACUUGCCCGAGAUUCAAUCAUCGGUAUCUCCGUACCUAGUUCAAUCUCAUUACCGGCUAGUCUCUUUACUCGUUCCUAAUACAAAAUCCCGUGACUACCUCCUUAGUCACAUUGCUUGCAAGGCUUGUUGUGAUGUUGUAUUACCGAGUGGGCCCCAAGAUACCUCUCCGUCACACGGAGUGACUAAUCCCAGUCUUGAUCCAUGUCAACUCAACAAACACCCUCGGAGAUACCUGUAGAUCACCCUGGGCAUUUGGGUACCCUAACCCGCUAUCCGAACCCGAACCGAACCGAAUUACCCGAAUUGUCGGGUAAUAUGGGUAUCGGGUUAGGGUUCGGUUCUCAUUUUCUGGCUAUUCGGUUUUCGGGUUAGGGUUCAGGUUCUAGUCUGUAAAACCCGAAAUACCCAUACUAUCCGAAUUAUCUAGACCAGCCAAAUUAUUUAUGCUAUUAUUACACUUACAUGUUACCCAUACUAACUAAAAUAUCCAUACUAUCCAAAAUACCCACACUAACCGAAUUAUUCAUACCAAAAGUUGAUGUGUGCUAUGAAUAUUUUGGGUUUCUUGGGUACCCGAAUUAACCGAACCAACAUUUUGGGUAAUUUGGGUUCUGGUAAAUUUUUGACACAAAAUUGUUUGGUUUCCCGUUUUGAAUACCCGAAUUAUCCAAACCGAAAUAACCAAAAUACCCGAAUGCCCAAGCUGACCUAUAGAGCACCUUUAUAGUCACCAAGUUACGUUGCGACGUUUGAUACACACAAGGUACUCCUCCGGUGUUAGUGAGUUACACGAUCUCAUGGUCAUAGGAACAUAUACUUGACAUGCAGAAAACAGUAGCAAUAAACUGACACGAUCACAUGCUACAUUCAUAGUUUGGGUCUUCUCCAUCACAUCAUUCUCCUAAUGAUGUGAUCCCGUUAUCAAAACCUUGACCAUCUUUGAGAAACGAGCUAGCCCAUUAGACGCUUACUAGGGACAGUGUGUUGUCUAUGUAUCCACACAUGUAUUUGAGUUUCCAAUCAAUAGAAUUCUAGCAUGGAUAAUAAACGAUAAUCUUGAACAAGGAAAUAUAAUAAUAACAAUUUUAUCAUUGCCUCUACGGNNNNNNNNNNNNNNNNNNNNNNNNNNNNNNNNNNNNNNNNNNNNNNNNNNNNNNNNNNNNNNNNNNNNNNNNNNNNNNNNNNNNNNNNNNNNNNNNNNNNCCGGUAAUGAGAUUGAACUAGGUACGGAGAUACCGAUGAUUGAAUCUCGGGCAAGUAACAUACUGAUGUACAAUGGGAACAACAUACAGGAUUAACUGAAUCCUUGACAUAGAGGUUCAACCGAUAAAUAUCUACGUAGAAUAUGUAGGAGCCAAUAUGGGCAUCUAGGUCCUGCUAUUGGUUAUUGAUCGGAGAAUGUCUCGGUCAUUUCUACAUAGUUCUCGAACCCGUAGAGUCUGCACACGUUUCGAUAUUAUUGAGUUAUGUAUGUUGGUGACCGAAAGUUGUUCGGAGUCUCGGAUGAAAUCCGCGACAUCAUGAGGAGCUCCGGAAUGGUCCAGAGGUAAAGAUUGAUAUAUAGAAAAGUGGUAUUUGGAUUCUGGAAAAAUUUCGGGCAUUUCCGGUAGUGCACCGGGAGGGGCCACCCAACCCGGGGGGGGGGGGGCACAUGGGCUUACGAGGUGGCGCACCAGCCCCUCGUGGGCUUGGGUGGCCAGCACCAAGACGCCCAUGCGCAAGGGCCAAGAGAGGAGGUGGAGGAGGAGUCCUCCCAAGGGAGUCCACCUUCCUUAUGGUAGGAGGACUCCCCCCUUGGUUCGACGGAACCUCUCCUGCUUGGAGGAGGGGCCAAGGCAGCCCACCUACCUCUUCCUCCUAUAUAUAGUGGAGGUUUUGAGGGCAGCCACCACCUAAAAAGCCACGUGCUGCCCUCUUCCCCAUAGAUCGUCUUCUUCGUCUAGAUUAGUUCGGUAGAGCUCGAGGAAGCCCUGCCGGAUUAGUUCACCACCACGGCCACCACGCCGUCGUGCUGCCGGAGAACUCAUCUACCUCUCUGCCCCCUCUUGNNNNNNNNNNNNNNNNNNNNNNNNNNNNNNNNNNNNNNNNNNNNNNNNNNNNNNNNNNNNNNNNNNNNNNNNNNNNNNNNNNNNNNNNNNNNNNNNNNNNCAUCAAAGGAGAUUAAAUCCUAAGAUGAAAGAGGUCGUUAGAAAAGAAAUAUUAAAGCUUCUGGAAGCAAGAAUCAUUUAUCCUGUUGCUCAUAGUGAUUGGGUAAGUCGAGUACAUUGCGUACCUAAGAAGGGAGGUAUCACCGUCGUUCCUAAUGAUAAGGAUGAACUAAUCCCACAAAGGAUUAUUACCGGCUAUAGAAUGGUGAUAGAAUUCCGGAAACUGAACAAGGCAACCAGGAAAGAUCAUUAUCCUUUGCCGUAAUCGACCAAAUGCUAGAAAGGCUAUCAAAACACACACACUUCUGCUUUCUAGACGGUUAUGCAGGUUUCUAGCAAAUACCUGUUGCACAAUCUGAUCAAGAGAAAACCACUUUCACCUGCCCUUUCGGUACCUUUGCCUAUAGACGUAUGCCUUUUGGCUUAUGUAAUGCACCUGCCACCUUCCAAAGAUGUAUGAUGGCUAUAUUCUCUGACUUUUGUGAAACGAUCAUCGAGGUUUUNNNNNNNNNNNNNNNNNNNNNNNNNNNNNNNNNNNNNNNNNNNNNNNNNNNNNNNNNNNNNNNNNNNNNNNNNNNNNNNNNNNNNNNNNNNNNNNNNNNNGAUAGMCGAUCGAAUCUCGGGCAAGUGACAUACCGAAGGACAAAGGGAAUGACAUACGGGAUUAUAUGAAUCCUUGGCACUGAGGUUCAAACGAUAAGAUCUUCGUAGAAUAUGUAGGAUCCAAUAUGGGCAUCCAGGUCCCGCUAUUGGAUAUUGACCGAGGAGUCUCUCGGGUCAUGUCUACAUAGUUCUCGAACCCGCAGGGUCUGCACACUUAAGGUUCGACGUUGUUUUAUACGUAUUUGAGUUAUAUGGUUGGUUACCGAAUGUUGUUGGGAGUCCCGGAUGAGAUCACGGAUGUCACGAGGGUUUCCGGAAUAGUCCGGAAACAAAGAUUGAUAUAUAGGAUGACCUCAUUUGAUUACCAGAAGGUUUUCGGAGUUACCGGGAAUGUACCGGGAAUGACGAAUGGGUUCCGGGAGUUCACCGGGGGGGGGGGGGGGCAACCCACCCCAGGGAAGCCCAUAGGCCUUGAGGGUGGCGCACCAGCCCUUAGUGAGCUGGUGGGACAGCCCAAAAGGGCCCUAUGCACCUAGGAAAGAAAAUCAAAGAGAAAAGAAAAAAAAGGAGGUGGGAAGGGAAGGAAGGACUCCCACCCACCAAACCAAGUCCAACUCGGUUUGGGGGGGGGGGGGGGGGCGGGGAGCCUUCCCCCUUGGACUCGGCCGACCCCCUUGGGGCUCCUUGAGCCCCAAGGCAAGGUCCCCUCCCUCCUACCAAUAUAUACAGAGGUUUUAGGGCUGAUUUGAGACGAUUUUUCCACGGCAGCCCGACCACAUACCUCCACGGUUUUUCCUCUAGAUCGCGUUUCUGCGGAGCUCGGGCGGAGCCCUGCUGAGACAAGGCCAUCACCAACCUCUGGAGCAUCGUCACGCUGCCGGAGAACUCUUCUACCUCUCCGUAUCUCUUGCUGGAUCAAGAAGGCCGAGAUCAUCGUCGAGCUGUUCGUGUGCUGAACGCGGAGGUGCCGUCCGUUCGGUACUAGAUCGUGGGACUGAUCGCGGGAUUGUUCGCGGGGCGGAUCGAGGGACGUGAGGACGUUCCACUACAUCAACCGCGUUCACUAACGCUUCUGCUGUACGGUCUACAAGGGUACGUAGAUCACUCAUCCCCUCUCGUAGAUGGACAUCACCAUGAUAGGUCUUCGUGCGCGUAGGAACUUUUUUGUUUCCCAUGCGAUGUUCCCCAACAAUUGCACCUUCGUGCAUCCGUGGUUUUCUCCCGCAAGGGUUUCCAGACGUGAUGUCAGGCUUGCAUUCCACUUAUGAUUAACCCCUCUCGCAAGCAUCCGCAACUACGAAAGAAGAAUUAAGACAACAUCUAACCAUAGCAUUAAACUAGUGGAUCCAAAUCAGCCCCUUACGAAUCAACGCAUAGACUAGGGUUUAAGCUUCUGUCACUCUAGCAACCCAUCAUCUACUUACUACUCCCCAAUGCCUUCCUCUAGGCCCAAAGAUGGUGAAGUGUUAUGUAGUCGACGUUCACAUAACACCACUAGAGGAAAAGACAACAUACAGCAUAUCAAAAUGACGAACGAAUACCAAAUUCACAUGACUAUUAUCAACAUGACUUAUCCCAUGUCCUCAGGGNNNNNNNNNNNNNNNNNNNNNNNNNNNNNNNNNNNNNNNNNNNNNNNNNNNNNNNNNNNNNNNNNNNNNNNNNNNNNNNNNNNNNNNNNNNNNNNNNNNNGAUAGCCCUUCUGCUCCUCGUUGGGUUCGACACUCUUACUUAUAUCGAAAUGACUACGAUUUAUCCCCUAUACUUGUGGGUCAUCAAGACUCUUUUCUGGCGCCGUUGCCGGGGAGCCAGGUGCCUUUGGUAAGUGGAAUUUGGUAAGGAAACAUUUAUAUAUUGUGCUGAAAUUUAUUGUCACUUGUCACUAUGGAAACUGUUCCUUUGAGGAAUUUGUUCGGGGUAUCUUCACCACGAACGGAAGCACGAGGAGUUGCUCCUCAGCCUGAGGUACCUACUGAAAAUAUAUUUUAUGAAAUUCCUUCGGGUAUGCUUAAGAAACUGCUGGCUAAUCCUUUUACAGGAGAUGGAUCAUCACAUCCAGAUUUGCAUCUAAUCUAUGUAGAUGAAGUUUGUGGUUUAUUUAAGCUUGCAGGUUUGCCUGAGGAUGAGGUAAAGAAGAAAGUCUUUCCUUAAUCUUUGAAGGAUAAGGCAUUGACAUGGUAUAGGCUAUGUGAUGAUACUGGAUCAUGGGACUACAAUCGGUUGAAAUUGGAAUUUCAUCAAAAGUUUUAUCCUAUGCAUUUAGUACAUCGUGAUCGGAAUUAUAUUUAUAACUUUUGGCCUUGUGACAGGGAAAGCAUAGCUCAAGCUUGGGGGAGGCUUAAAUCAAUGCUAUAUUCAUGCCCCAAUCAUGAGCUCUCGAGAGAAAUUAUCACUCAAAACUUUUAUGCUCGGCUUUCUCAUGAAGAUCGUACCAUGCUUGACACUUCUUGUACCGGUUCUUUUAUGAAGAAGGAUAUUGACCACAAGUGGAAUUUAUUGAAAGAAUCAAACGUAACUCUGAAGAUUGGGAGCUUGAAGAAGGUAAGGAGUCAGGUAUGAAUUUCCAGUUUGAUUUCGUUAAAUCUUUUGUUGAAACAAACACUUCUAGAGAUUUUAGCGCUAAGUAUGGACUUGGCUCUGAGAUAGUAGCUUCUUUAUGUGAAUCCUUUGCUCCUCAUCUUGAUCUUGCCAAAGAGAAGUGGUUUAAGUAUCAUCCUCAUGUAGAAGUCAACAUAGUUAAACCCAAUCUAGUUGAAGAGAAACUCAUUGCCUUUAGUGAUCCUUGUUCCUACGCUCAGAAACCACCUUACCCUGCUAGGAAAAAGGAUUAUUGUAAAGCUCCAACUGUGAUACGUAGGGGUUACAUUAGACCACUUGCACCCCCUGAAGAAAUUAGAGUUGAACCUAGUGUUUCUCUUAUCAAAGAUCUCUUAGCCGAAGACAUAGACGGGCAUGUUAUCAAAUUCUGUGAGGACUCCGCUAGAAUUGCUAAACCUCACGCGAAAGACAAAUACGGACCUGUAGUUGGCCUGCCCGUUGUUUCUGUCAAGAUAGGAGAUCACUGUUAUCAUGGUUUAUGUGAUAUGGGCGCUAGUGUUAGUGCAAUACCCCGGUCCCUAUACGAUGAAAUCAAAGAUGAGAUUGCACCUGCUGAGUUAGAACCCAUUAUGUCACUAUCAUGCUAGCUAAUAGAGACACUAUCUGCCCUGUGGGAAUUGUGCGAGAUGUAGAAGUCUUGUGUGGUAAGACGAAGUACCCUUCUGAUUUCCUCGUCCUUGCUACUACACAAGAUAGCUUUUGUCCCAUCAUAUUUGGUAGACCCUUUCUCAACAUUGUCAAUGCUCAUAUUGAUUGCAUUAAACAGACUGUCAUAGUUAGUUUUGAGGGUGUGUCUCAUGAAUUUAACUUCUCCAAGUUUGGAAGACAACCCCAUGAAAAAGAGUCGUCUGGUAGGGAUGAAAUCAUUGCUCUUGCCUCUAUUGCCGUGCCUCCUACGGAUCCUUUAGAGCAAUAUCUGCUUGAGCAUGAAAAUGAUAUGCAUAUGGAUGAAAGAGAUGAGAUAGAUAAAAUUGUUUUAGAACAAUAUCCUAUUCUCAAGAAUAAUCUGCCUGUUGAACUGGUUGGGGAUCCUCCCCCACCAAAGGGUGAUCCUGUGUUCGAGCUUAAACAGUUGCCAGAUACUCUUAAGUAUGCCUACCUUGAUGAGAAGGAGAUAUAUCCUGUUAUUAUUGCUAUCACCUCUCGAUUCACAAAGAGAAGAAGUUAUUAACAACUGCUAUCNNNNNNNNNNNNNNNNNNNNNNNNNNNNNNNNNNNNNNNNNNNNNNNNNNNNNNNNNNNNNNNNNNNNNNNNNNNNNNNNNNNNNNNNNNNNNNNNNNNNAUGGGUUGCUAGAGUGACAGAAGCUUAAACCCUAGUCUAUGCGUUGAUUCGUAAGGGGCUGAUUUGUAUCCACUAGUUUAAUGCUAUGGUUAGAUGUUCUCUUAAUUCUUCUUUCGUAGUUGCGGAUGCUUGCGAGAGGGGUUAAUCAUAAGUGGAAUGCUUGUCAAAGUAAGGGAAGCACCCCAAGCGCCGGUCCACCCACAUAUCAAACUAUCAAAGUAACGAACGUGAAUCACAUGAACAUGAUGAAACUAGCAUGACAAAAAUUCCCGUGUGUCCUCGGGAGCGCUUUUCCUCCUAUAAGACUUUGUUCAGGCUUGUCCCUUGCUACAAAAGGGAUUGGGCCACUUGCUGCACCGUUACUACUACUUGACACUUGUUACUUUUCACUUGCUACGUUUCACCUCACUACACCAUCACUUGUUACCGCUACUUUCAGUGCUUGCAGUAAUUACCUUGCUGAAAACCGUUUAUCAGAGCCUUCUGCUCCUCGUUGGGUUCGACACUCUUACUUAUAUCGAAAUGACUACGAUUUAUCCCCUAUACUUGUGGGUCAUCAAGACUCUUUUCUGGCGCCGUUGCCGGGGAGCCAGGUGCCUUUGGUAAGUGGAAUUUGGUAAGGAAACAUUUAUAUAUUGUGCUGAAAUUUAUUGUCACUUGUCACUAUGGAAACUGUUCCUUUGAGGAAUUUGUUCGGGGUAUCUUCACCACGAACGGAAGCACGAGGAGUUGCUCCNNNNNNNNNNNNNNNNNNNNNNNNNNNNNNNNNNNNNNNNNNNNNNNNNNNNNNNNNNNNNNNNNNNNNNNNNNNNNNNNNNNNNNNNNNNNNNNNNNNNGUCAGCAGGAACCUUUGAUGUGCUGAAACAAAGGAAUUCACUGUGUGUAUAGCAACAUCACAAUCUCUACAAAGUAGAGCACGGUCCUCCAGGCAGAAGAAGUAUCCAGAAGCCUCCUGCAAUUAAAAAAAAAGAUUCAGAUGAACAAAGUUAAGGAUAAAUAGCAGAAAUGACUUGCAACAGGAAUCAUAGUACAAAGAAAAUUAUGUGGGUAUAUCAUUCCAAUAACUGGGGCAUUAGUUGUGCCUUUGAGCAUGGGCUUUGCACUAUGACCCGUCAACCGAGUAUCAAAAUACAUAAUUCAGGGAGACAUGAUCCACAUCCAGGCUAUUCAGCCUGGUAUGAUAACCCAAAUAAAUAUAUAGUGCAAUACAGUUAGCCCUGUAUCUAUACAACUAUGUAAGAUUUAGAUCUAACGAACAAGUGUUUGGAACCACAAUUGGUUUACUAUUGUAGAUUAUGUCCAGCUAAGCAUGCCAGGAUUUGUUAGGCAUGUGCCUUAUCAUAACAGAUGCAAAAAAAAAAACAUUUCAAAAAGGCAUUUUUGGUAACCUAAAUAAGUAUUAUAUUUUUUAAAACUUCACCGGUGACUGCUUGUGUGAGAAACUAAGCUUGUCAUCUUACAAGCAAGGUUUGCUUCUUCUAUUGGUGAUAUAAUGGCUGCUGUUCAAUAAGACGAGAGGAAAGCUUGUCCAAUUUCACUACAAAGCCUAUUCAAGUUCAAUGGUUUCAUUUAAACUAACUGAUCUGUACUCUAUGUUACCUAGAACCUACAUUUUAAGGCUCAACAUAAAUCUUCGGAUUAAUUGGCCUGAAAUAAACAAGCCCAGAGAAGCUCUUCUAUGUUUCUAGUUCAUGUGGUCUUUUGUAUGCAACACUGUGACCAACUGAAUUUUUGGUUCUNNNNNNNNNNNNNNNNNNNNNNNNNNNNNNNNNNNNNNNNNNNNNNNNNNNNNNNNNNNNNNNNNNNNNNNNNNNNNNNNNNNNNNNNNNNNNNNNNNNNGCUUAUGGGUUAACAAACCAAGUCAAGGUGGACCACUCGAGAUAAGAACACUGCACAUGGGUUUUACUUAAGAACGCUCCUCCCUCCUCGUGGCAUCACGUGGGGCUGAGGGUGGCCAUACAAAGAAACUCUUACUCUGUUAUACGCAUAACGAUGUGCAGCAAUACCAAGCUUGAAAAAAGGGCCAUGACUCGAAUUUCGGAGUGCGGAAGGACUAGAGAGCAAUUCGAUAGUACAGAUAUGGUGGGAAAGUUUGGGAUGAUGAAAUGGAGUGGACAAUCAGUUGGUUUGCAGGGCAAUCGCAUGACAAUCUAGCGUGCGUGUAGCAGGAAAUGAAGACAGCGAGCACAAUAUGGUUGGUACUGAGAUCAGUUAACGCAUCUUAACCCUGAUCAGCACAGGAAGAAGGUACUAGCUGCCUCGGUUCUAGUUAGAUAGGAGCAAUUCAUAAUUCUUUGCCAGCAAGAGCUCGCAUCCGAAACUAACUACUGUGGCUUACCCUCAGCUACCGAAAUAAGACGGCGCCCGUCCAGGAACAGUCAGUAAGGAAUUUCACGGAUUGCGCGGCCCGUCCCCCAAUCGAGACAGGCGGGGGCGCAGGGGCGGAGGAGGGAGGGAGGGAAGGGGGUGGCGGUGCUGACCUGGCAGAUGUCGCACUUGGGCGGCGCGGCGGCGUUGGGCGCGGCGUCGGGGAGGAGCGGCACGCGCUGGUGCUUGGCGGCGAGCCUGUUGGCGGCGUGCACCUCCUCGUNNNNNNNNNNNNNNNNNNNNNNNNNNNNNNNNNNNNNNNNNNNNNNNNNNNNNNNNNNNNNNNNNNNNNNNNNNNNNNNNNNNNNNNNNNNNNNNNNNNNUCUCCCCACGCGCUGCCCCCGCAAUGGCGCCGCUGCGCCUCCGCCGCCGCAUCCUCGCUCCCGCCGCCCCCGCCGACUCCGCCCCAGGGCCCGCCGCGGCACGCGGGCGGGGGAUCCGCCGCGUCCUCUCUGAACCCCGCCGAGGUGGCCAAGUUCGCCGCCAUCGCCGAGACCUGGUGAGAUCCCUCCCUGACCUUGUGGGUGGGUGAACUCCCGUGCUUUUGUGCCGCGUGAUUGAUUAUAUAUUUUGUCAACACUUUCCAGUGAAUUGGCAUGCAUUUUUGUUCUGUAUAUAUGAACAUGCCUCUAGAUAUGUUUGAUAUCAAGGUGCCUCUACAUGUCAGGGAGUUGCACAAAAAGUACUACAGUCAGUGUAUGGGCUACUGUGAGUGGAGAAUGCCUACUUAGUUUUGCCACGAUGAACAAUGGUUACUAAAAUCAAAUCUGGCCUUUGGGGUCUUUGUACUAUAUCAUCUCUGUUCUAUGUAGAAGCAUUCAUCUGCCACUUGGCCAGUGCAACACUUAGUAUAGUCUGUAUGUUAUGGUGCUCGAAGCAAAGGGGCUGACAAGUUUUUGCUUUGCAUAUUAUUGGUUACUGAUGAUGAUGCUGUUUCUGGAAUAAAUAGGUGGGAUUCUCAAGGUCCAUUCAAGCCAUUGCAUUUGAUGAAUCCGACACGACUGUCUUUUAUCCGCUCCACACUCUGUAGACAUUUCAGGUACAUUUAACGUACCCUGCAUUUUGUUUUCUAUAGAGCAUUCUGUUGUGGUUUUUAGUUUUUUCUUUUCCCUCGAAGAGAAGACAAGUACAUCGACUGCUUAUUGUACCAUUCCCUAUUCCAUAUUGUCAUUAUUUUCCCAUUCCUUAGUUCUCAUCAUCAAGUUGCCUUUUGUUGUAUUUUGCCUAAGUUCAUCCUAAGGGAUCCACAUUUGUUCUACUUUGACUAAAGUUAGUUCUUCCAGGAGGGAUCCAUAUUCAGCUAAGCCACUCGAAGGUCUUAAAGUUAUUGAUGUUGGAUGUGGAGGUGGCAUUCUCUCAGAGGUAUAAAGGCUUUUUCAGCCAAUAAUUUUGAAGAACUAAAACCUUCUGGUGUUUAACAUACUAGAUACUAAAUGCUUUUUGAUGGUUUUUCGUCUGUGUGAAAGGGAGAAUUAAAUCAUGUAGUUCACUUGUAUAGAAAUGGAUAAUGGAUAUGCAAUAUUUGCCUUCUUACUUAUCAUAAUUUUUUCAUGCUAAGUGUCACAUUGUAGAACGUACUCGCAUUGGACUAUUAGAUGUAAAUUCAUGUUUGCAUCCAGAACUAUCUUUCAGCAUUUUGACUUGCUAGUCUCUAUAGCCUAUGAUGAAUGUCUUAAACUAUCCAUGAUGUAUUCUCCUUGCCUACAAUCUGAGCCGAGCUUAUUGAUGUGGACUUAUUGCAUUUCUAAUCUAGAUAUAUGGUAGCUAGUUGGUUUGGAAUUGUGAGUCUAUGUCUCAGAUCAACGUCUUUGUAGUGUUACAAUGCAAUUGGGACUUUAACAUGUGUUUUCUUGUUCUGUGUGAUUGAACUGACGGAUAAAAUAUUUGUUGACCUUUUGGAUCAUAUGUGUUGGAUGACAGCCUCUUGCUCGGAUGGGAGCUACAGUUACUGGCAUUGAUGCUGUUGAGAAGAAUAUAAAGAUUGCGCACAUUCAUGCUGUAUGUAUUACUCAUCUUCAUGUCAAUUAUCAUGUAGAAAUAGCUGUGAUUAUUUUCUUGGGACUUAUUUUAUGUAUAAUUUUGACGAGAAAGGUGUACUUCUAAGUUUAUUUAUUGGCUUCCUGCUGAUAACAAUGAAACAUAUAAUGCUAAUAAAUAUGAUCUCGUACAUAUUUUGCCUGAUGGUAUAGCACAUGAUCACUAUUUAUGCAGUAUUAAGCUUUUGAGGACUUAUGACUUCCAUGUUCUUUUCCUCGACAUUUACUCCUUUACUCAUGUAGACAUCAAACGCCCAUAAAAGUGAAUCGAUUGUUCAUGAGUUUACACUGCCGGAAUUGCCAGUCAGAACCAUGAUGGAUUUAUUACAUUUUUAGCCAACGAUUUUUGCUUCGUACCUUUGCAGGCAUCUGAUCCAACAACUGCUUCCAUUGAGUAUUGCUGCACAACCGCUGGUAAUCACUUUCAGGGCAUAUUCCAGUGACUGUUUAGUUAUUUAGUUCCACUAUGUGGUUAAAACAUUUGCUCUCUUGAUUGAACAUUUUUUUUCUCAGCAAUUAACCAGACUGUAAAAGAAGACCAGCAACUUCCAAAUUUAGAUAAUAUAGAUUGAAUUGAGAUAUAUAAGUAAUUUAAUUCUUCUAUUUCUUGUGGCUGAAAAUAGCAGAACUUAUGCAAAUUAUUGUUCAUAUGCAGAGGAUUUGGUAAAAGAGAACAAGCAAUUUGAUGCUGUAAUUUCUCUUGAGGUAUGAACAUUUUUGUCCCAUCUUACACAUAUGCUGUCUUCCGAAGGUGCUUGAUCAAGAAUAGAUUGCGUCCAUAGCUUAUUUAUCAUAGUAUACGCCAUCCGAGAGAUGUUUUGGUAAUUGACUGAUGCGGGCUCCCUUUUAAAACCUUUGGGGUGAUAUUGAAGAAUGCUUUAAUUAUGCAUUACAGGCAUAUAGCUUCUGCUAGAACCGUGUGUUAGGAGAGCUGCUGGCUCUAUCCACUCAAAGAAAUGAUGCAAUUCCAUUAAUUAGGACAGUUCGAAUUAUAUUUUACUCCAUCCGUCCCAAAAUAAGUGUCUCAAGCUUAGUACAAUUUUGUACUAAAGCUAGUACAAAGUUGAGACACUUAUUUUGAGACGGAGGAAGUAUUUGCCAGGGGCAUCUAUAUAAAGAAAUCGGCCAUCUGCGCCAUCCAAUCAAUUAAGCUACACAAAGUUCAUGAAUCUAUUCUGCCUCCUUCUGUAGUCUCCCUCAUUUUUUGUCGCCUCUCAAUCCCUAGAGUCAAGUCAUGUGUUCAAACAAUAGGAGUCACCGGUGCAAAAUAUUGGGACAACUAUCGCAACCUAUGACGCAAUAUCACAAUACACUGUAUAAACUCUUUGUGAAUAGGAUGAUUAAGUACCGUGUGCCUUGCACGCACGGCUAUCUUAAUUGAAACUAGUGUAUUGGAUCAAAAAUAUGAAUUAUCUUAAUAUCUUUGCAGGUGAUUGAGCACGUUGCUAAUCCUUUGGAGUUCUGCGAAUCUCUAUCAGCUUUGACAGUUCCUAAUGGCGCCACUGUGAUUUCUACAAUCAACCGGUCAAUGAGAGCAUAUGCGGCUGCCAUUGUUGGUGCUGAGUAUAUUCUCAGAUGGGUUAGUCUCAUUUUCCACCUGGCGGUUUUCUUGUUGUUGUUGUUGUUUCAAUUCCUAUGGAAGAUUGAUUCACAUAGUUGGCAGUCUGUUAUGUUGGGAGUAAUAUGCCAUUUCACGGUCGCUAGCUUAGCAAAUCUACUCCUGAUAUUGGAAGAUGUCCUAAUUGUUAAUGCUCUUGACUCAUGAGCAGUCUCAAGCCAAAUGAAAUAUGUCAUUCAAUUCAUCAGCCUAACAUAUGGCUUUGCGUACGCAAUGGUAGGAAGGGCCUGUGUUAUCUUGAUUUCUACUUCCUCCGUCCCACAAUAUAAGAGCUUUUUUCAAGCUAUUGUUAGCUUGAAAAAUGUUCUUAUAUUGUGGGAUGGAGGGAGUGCUAUGCAAGGUCGCACAUGUGACAGAUAAACAAAGGUGUAGAGAUAUACUGAUCUGUAUAGCUAGUUAGCUGUGUUUGUUGGGCUAGAAUUCAAUAAGGGUUCAGAUCCUCCAAGGAAAUAGAGUGCUAUCAUGUUCAUUAGCAAAAUAAUCAACAAGCUGUUUCAACAUAUGCUCAUUCCUACUAAGUUUGAUGCUCCGAUGAAUCUGAAUCAGUGACACUGUACUCUUGAAGUCUUAAUGGUUUUCUUUGUACUUUUACAGCUUCCUAUAGGCACACAUGAGUGGUCGAAACUAGUCACCCCUGAGGAGCUAGUCCUAGCACUGCAAAGAGCCUCAAUCUCCGUAAGCUACUAAUAACUCCCACACGAUGAUCUUGCUGCCACUUUAUAUAACUGACAGCUUGACGCCUUAUCUCCAGGUCGAAGAAAUGGCAGGCUUUGUCUACAAUCCGUUGACCAGAGAGUGGUCCCUGUCUGAUGAUACAAGUAUAAACUACAUCGCUUACGGCAUCAAGAAGAGCGAAACACCCCCAACAAUGCCACAUCAGUAAGAUUAGCCAGUCAUGUUUGGAGAGGAUUGUCUGUGUAUCACGGUAACAAAUUUUGGAAGCAGAAGUCGUGCCACUUAAGAUCUUAGCAGCGGUUGCAAUCAAGCAAGGCAAAGAAGAGGUUGAACUCCUGGAGUAUUUUUGUUUUCUUUGAGAAGUUGAUGGGAGAGACCAGCUAACAAGUAGGGCUAGUUAGUUUCCACACUUUGUAAUAAAUGUAUGCUGCAUACAAGUUCAUCAAGUUUGGGGUAACUCCCUCUUAUUCACAUUACAUAAACAGAAAUAUACUGCCCCUGGGCAAGCAGGAAAUGGUACCAAGUCAAGUGAAGGGUAAUGUUUUUUGGUUAUGUUCAUAUCUGCACUGGUGCGCAUUCUUUAUUUGCAUUCCUUGUGCUCGGUAGGCUGACAAUUUGGUAUGCAUAAUAAUACUUUCAAAAGCUAUUUUUGUGACGUGAAGAAUUAUAUAUUAGGAAAAUUUUACUACACCUUAACCUACAAGCUUAUUCUCCAUUGCAUAUUUCCGCUCAAUUUCGAACAUUGAAACAAGCAAGAUCAGCUUUACGAAAGGCCAACAUAACUCGUCAGGCAUAUGAAAAUACCAACCACAGACUUGAGAAGAACUACCAACAUAGCAUGAGUAUUAAUUCUUCUCGGGUACUGAAAUUAGUCCUAAUCUCAACCAUGAUAACAUACUGGUAGAGAACAAACCUUACACAAUCUGAUGGAUCCAUAGUUCCAUACACACCGGACAUGCAAGACUACUAGUAUUAAGGUUCAAACGCAAGUACACAAUAUCAUCGCUUGUUUAUUAAACGAAGGAUGAACUGCCUACUAACGGUUCGAUCAGCCAGCACGACGCUACUACAAACAUGGCUGAAGGUGGCAGCCAAUAACACCAACGCAUUACAGUCAUAGUAGUAACCAUCUCGUUUGGAAGCGGGACAUGCUCAUGGAUCAUCAUCAUCAUCUCCGACAGCGUUGACGCGCUCGCACUCAUCGAUCCAUUCGCUGUAU